rnacentral:lncRNA from 1 species
UUUAAAUAGCUCGAGGCGGAUGGAUGCUCGUAAGGUGUCAUAGUGCAGAUUUGCUAUAUAUUAAUACAUCGCUUAUUUGGUUAUAGGCUUUCAGUAGAAGGUUAAGAUUUGUGUAUCACUGGUUGGCAGUAUUUUUGAACGUGAUAAAUCCAACCAUAGGAAUUUCCCGAGUUAUGUUGUACUAUCUCUUUCUUCGAACUUUCUUUUGUUGAACCAUUCAAGUCUAACAUCACCGGUCUUAUUGGCUUUUUCUGUUUCCUAUAUGUUUUGAAUUUUUGAUACAAUGCCAGAUGCAUGAAUGUGUUGUUGCAUUAUGCUUCAGAACAACUUGUUACAUCAUAACUUCUGUGAAAAGAAACAGUUAUAACAUAAUUGUUUCACAGGGCAAUAAUACCUGUUUUUGUUUCCGAUAAUUUUCCUAUGAUCUGUUCUUCUACAUAUCUGAGUCUCUGCUCAGUAGUUCUGAUAGAUUUUCACCCCAUACCUUGUUCUAUUUUUGAAUAACCAUUCUAUCUAAAGUGAAGUUGUCUGCUGAGUGAUUAGAUAUGUUCUAGUUAUAUUUCGUUUCUUUUCUUAAUUGUGUGCUCAGCUGUUGUUUUGUUCUAUACACACUUAGCAUUCUUUAAUGAUGUGCUUAAUUUUCGAACUAUAACUUUUUUAUCAACUUAGAUGCCUACAGCAUUUGCUGUCUUGGUGAUUCAAACUAAUCUCUAACUUUAGCCGACAUGAUUCUUUACAUAAAUGCAGAGAAUUAAAGUCCUAUCUGAGCUGCUGAUAGCUGUAUCAAAAGCAGAGAGGCAAGAAGCAAGAAUGAGGAUCAGACAAGAAUCUUUUCGGCUAGGCAAUGUUGGUGUUAUGAGGUGCAUUUCUUAUCCUUAGUUUAUCCUGUUAUCUUGGGAGGUAAUUUUUAUUGUCAGAGAGAAAACUAGAAUGCAAAAUAAUUGAUCUGCUUCAAAGCUUCAAAUUUAUGGAAUGCAGUUACCGCAUAAUGCUUUCUGGAUUUUAUGCUUUUGUACAAUUCUCACGAAAUUCUCAUUGAGUCGCACACUAUUGGAGAUAAGCUUGGUUGAUAGAGCAUCUAGGGCUGACAACAUUGAGGAUUUUGGAAAAUUCCAGAUUUGGCUAUACAUGAGGGUUUUUUUGUUUUGUUUUGUUUCUAAGAGAUAUAUGAGGUAAUUUGCCAGAGUUUCUUUGCUUAUCUCUGAGAGAUGUGCAAGGCAAAGAGUCAAAAUGGCAUGCUGUUGUAUUGCGACAGUCUUUUUCAUCUCUUCUGUCAGAAUUAUGAUAUCCAAUAUCGUGUUAACAUGCUUCAAAUGGGUUUAUAUGUUUAUUCCAGCCCUGUUUUUACCAGCUUUUGUUCUCUGGUCAAUGCCCUUUCAAAAAAGUUGCAGCAAAAUUGUACAAUCCUUUAAAAUUUAGCUAUCAUUUAGCUAUCCUCUGUUUUUACCUUUAAUGCUGUUUUAACUGACUUCUGUUUUAGAUAACAACUCAAAUUAGGCCAUCUAAUUUACUAAGUGAUAGCUAAAUUAUCCAAUCCUCUGUUCUUAUGUAUGCUUAUUUAUACAAUCCUCUAUAAUGAUGGUUAUAGAGGUUAUACUUUGAUACAUUUUUUACAUUUAUUCUCUUAAUUUUCCUUCUACAAUGAUUGACCUUUUCAUCUAUUUUAAAACCUGUCGGACGCAUACAACUGCUCUUGCUAUUUGAUUCCAAUACUUCACACUUUCACAGACAUAAUGGAAUCUGUUGCUAUUCUGUCAAUAAAGUACUUCAUAUUGUCUAUGAUAAUUCUACUUUUAUGUGCUUUCCUUGAUAAAAUGCAGAGCUGGAACUGUUAUAUCUGAGACAUGGGAGGAUGGGCAAGCAAUAAAGGAUCUUAAUACUCAUCUUGUAAGCUUUUCUUGCGCUUAUCUACAUUUUCCAUCAAGGACAUCAGCACACGAACAUACUAAUGCUGUGUGAUGUGAGUUAACAUGAUUGUCCCACAUUUAAUGCUUUUUGCUUUGAAAGUAGCUCAUGAUGCAUAUGAUUUCUCUUGUGAGAUCUUCCAAUGAUGUUACUGUGUAUUCAUUAUUUUUUCCCACCUUCAAUUAGGCUGCAAGACUCAGAUUCAAUCCUAGGUCUAAACCUCAGGUCUGAGCCUGGCCCAGAUCACAAGUCUGGCUAGGCUCUCCAACCUACACUAAACUUCAGGGCCAGGCUGGGCUGCAUCAUGCUCAGGUCGCAAUCAUUUUUCUUCCAUGAGGUUGUAGCCUGGACUGGCCUGAAACACAAUCAAACUUAUCCGUUCAGGCUAGUUCAGUCUGAGAUCCAUGUCAUUUUUCCAGCCCAAUAUUUCAGGGCAGCGUAUUUGUGCCGCUCAGGUGGGCCUAGCCCUUUGGAACUCCUAAUUAUAACUUUGCAACUGUAGUGAUACACUCAGGCAUUUUAUUUCACAGUUUAUUAGCAUUCCUCACUGUAAGUGAAGAUGCAAGCAAUAUGCAAUGUUAAUUACCUGUAGAGCAUCAUUUGUACGAAAUAUCUGUCUUCCUGCAAUGGCAAAAUGUAGUAAAUAUCUUGCUCUCCAGUAAGUCCAUUUUUUUGUGUUCCACAAAGCUACUGAAACUAAGUUCCUUGCAUCAUAUUGAAUUUUUGUAUGUCAAAUGACUUACAUGUGACCCUAUCUUGGUCUCUCAGCUGAACUUAUUUCAUAUAUGACAUUAUUUGACUGUAGAAAUCUUUGUUGGAGACGAAAGAGGCUAUUGAAAGGCAUCGGAAAUCACUUAAAAAACGACAACCAGGUAAAUCCCUUUUUCUGUGUUCAGUGCUUAUUAUAUUCUUUUUGGUUCACAGAAUUCAUAAGCGUCCAUGCAUGAAAAGGUAUUCCAUAGAUAAUUUGCAGCUGCAAAUAUUAGUUUGAUCUUUUCACCAAAUUAAAUGAUUUGGACUACUUGCUUUUUAAUAUGUUGUCUGAGUUUGCUGAGCAUGGUCAAAACUAAUAUUGUCAACGUUAUAAUGACGCAUGGCUUGGCCGCAUAAUGCUGUAAAAAUUGUGGUGAUUUGUUUUUACUUAUUUAAGGCACGUUUGUGUCAUCAUCCUUUUUUUUUUUCUUUCCGCACAAAAAUUGUGUCUGCACAAUAUCAUUUGUUCAUGUCAGUUAAUUUACCAUCAGCUAUAACUGUUACUUGGAUUGAUUUUACAGUUCUUUUCUCUUGUAGAUAAGGGCGAAAGCAGCGAUGUUGAAACUGGCAUGUCUGAAGAAGAUUUCCUUAUACAGGAUGAAAUUUGUAAAUCACGCCUAGCAAGCAUCAAACGUGUAAAUUACAUUUGUCUUUAUAUAUUUGUCUAACUGUGAUAGGUCGACGCUUUCUAUCUCACUCAGAUUUUCCACAAGAUAUUCAACAGUUAAAGGUUCUGAUUCUAUCUCUGUUAGUAAACCACUUCUGUACAUCUCAUUCUUUCUCUCUACAUUCUUUUAGGAGGAGGAAAGUUAUUUCAGGGAAAGGGAACGUUAUGAAUUGGAAAAGGGAAGGCUUAUACGUGAAAUGAAGCGCUUAAGAGAUGAGGAUGGAUCACGCUUUAACAAUUUCCAAAUUCUUAACCAUCGAUAUGCUCUUUUAAAUCUUCUUGGGAAGGGAGGGUUUAGUGAGGUUUACAAGGUAAAAACUUGUUACGACUUGAAGUAUAUUCAUAUUAUGAGCUUGUUUUAGCAAUUAGGCAAGUUGUUUUGUUUAAAUGUGGUUAAUUUUAAGAAGGUGAGAUCAGAAUGCAGUAACUUGGUUUUUUAUCUUACCAUUAUUGCCAUUGCUAAAAAUAGUACAUUUUCAUAAUGAUUUAAAAGGGGUAAUUUUCAAGCAGGCAUUUGAUUUGGUGGAGUAUAGAUACGUAGCUUGUAAGCUUCAUGGUUUGAAUGCUCAAUGGAGUGAACAGAAGAAGCAAAGUUAUAUACGCCAUGCUAUUCGAGAAUACAACAUUCAUAAGACCUUGGUGCAUCCUAAUAUCGUUCGGCUAUGGGAUAUCUUUGAGAUUGACCAAAACACCUUUUGUACCAUUUUAGAGUACUGCGGCGGUAUAAUUCAUUCCCUUAAUUAUGCCAUUUUGUUGUAUUUUGAGUUGAUCGUUUUCUUAUAUGAUAUUUUCAUGGCCUAGUUGUUUCUGAGCAAAUGUGCUGGCAUGUUUUCUUAUUCUGAUAUUUUCUUGACUUGUUUCUAUGCAUAUGUGCUGACACCAAUGUUUCUUUUUUUCAUUAGAAAAAUGCUACUGCCAACUUUAACCAUUUUAGUUUUUUCUUUCUUUCUUUCUAUUCAGGGAAAGACCUUGAUGCAGUCCUUAAAUCAACACCUAUUCUUCCUGAAAAGGAAGCUAGAAUUAUAAUCUUUCAGAUAUUUCAAGGCCUUGUCUAUCUCAAUAAGAGACCUCAAAAGAUCAUUCAUUAUGAUCUGAAGCCUGGGAAUGUUCUCUUUGAUGAGGUUGGUGUGUCAAAAGUGACAGAUUUUGGACUAAGCAAGAUAGUGGAAGAUGAUGUUGGAUCUCAGGGUAUGGAACUAACUUCUCAGGGGGCUGGAACAUACUGGUGCGUACACUGGCAAUUCCUUCAACUUAUUUUUCUUGACUUUUAUUUUGUCUCAGCUUAAAUUACACUAUUGUUUUCUGCCAAGUAGGGGGAAUAUUACUUGGUGCUAAAUAUGUCCAUGAUAUUUUUCUUCGUGGCUAUUUUCAGGUAUUUGCCCCCAGAAUGCUUUGAUCUUAGCAAGACACCGCUAAUUUCAUCAAAGGUUUGUGAACUAUUCUUUCGCACUAAAGUCUUCUGUAUUUAAGAAGUGUGAUAUCUCUCCGUACUCUUGUAACCCUUUGAUAUCUGAGUUAGAAUAGGCCUUCUUAUCAUAAUCAAUUCCUCGUUACCAUAAUCUUGUAACCGUUUAAGAAGUCUGAGGACAUGAUUCAGUUAUCUUUCCGUCUUACAACUUUUAGCUAACACAACCUAUCUCUGUUUUGUCUAUUGUUUUCGGGGUUAAUUGCUUAGUAUGAUUAUCACACUUAUGCUUCUGUUUAAAGAUGCUUAAGUGCAUAUAUUAUAUAUAGUAUGCUCAUCUACUGAACAAGAUAAAAGGAGGUGAAAAAUAAUUCUGUGCUACUUGGUUGUGUAUACUAUUUGUAGCCGAUCUGCUGAACAUCUGCUGGAGGAACAUUGCAAAUGUUACUGUGACUUAAUACAUUUCAAAGGUUGGUGUAUAAAUUGCUCUCUUUGCCUGCAACAGGUGGAUGUUUGGUCAGCUGGUGUAAUAUUGUAUCAGAUGCUCUUUGGUAAGCGCCCGUUUGGUCAUGACCAGACGCAAGAAAGAAUACUUCGUGAAGACACAAUUAUUAAUGCACGCAAAGUGGAUUUUCCACCAAAGCCUGCAGUGUCAAGUGAGGCAAAGGUUAGCCUUUCUUCCUCGGCCUAUUUCUCCUGUUUUGCCACUCGACUUAGUGCAUUUUUACUUGUACUUGAAUUGCUGGGGAAAACCACACCCUAUCCUGCAAAGAUGCACUCAGCACGUUAAAAAAGAAUUACCAUGAGGCCUUGUGCGGAAUCCUUCACUCAAGCAUUUUUAAUAGAAACUCCAUGUUCUUAUGAUUAUUUCUGUCAACAAACUGCCAUGGCAAUGAGCGCAUCUGAGUAGUUACUAGACUCUAACAAUUUUCUUUGAUGUUGUCAGGAGCUGAUUCGUCGCUGUUUGACAUAUAAUCAAGCGGAAAGGCCCGAUGUACUAACCAUUGCUCAAGAUCCUUAUCUCUCGUAUUCAAAGAGGUAGGGAAAUGCUGAUCCCUUCGGCAUAUAUAUAAUAGUAUAUAUAUUGAGAAAGAGAGAAUAGGCAAAAGCCAUUUCUGUAGAUGUUGUAAAUUGUGUUCUUCAUAAUUAGAAAAUAUUCUGAUCAACAAUUUAUUUCGUCUCUUUUGUUAGUAAUAUAAAUGAGACAAUGUUUCAAGAGGGAAACAAUUUGUGUAAAGAUGCUGCCGAAAGGAGGCUAAAGCAGUAUGGUUGGUUUUAAGCUAGACUGCUGUGUUUUUUUUUUUUUAAAAAAAAUAAAGGUUUUGGAGGUGCAUCUGCGUUUUGUCUAACAUGACAGGUGCAUAUGGUUGCUCUAAUGCCCAAUUCGGAGCUACCUGAAUCCUGUGCUCGAUAGAUUUCCGAAGCUUGUUGCCUGCUCGUACAGGUUUAUAUGUCGUUGUUUUGUGGAAUAUAUAUUUUUAUCCUUCGCUUUUCAUUAGCCAAAAUUUCAGUGUUUCGCUGCUUGUGCGCAGUUGAAUUUGAUUGAGGCUGAAUAGAAUGAAAUACAGAGUUUGCCCUCGUCAGAAUUAUUAUGCUCUAAAUAAAGAUUGCGUCACCUACUCCGUGCUAAAAUUUUCAAGCUUAAAUUGACUGCUGUCGUGCUGAUUAGGACGGGUGAUUAUAGCGUAUGUUAUAUGUUAUUGUAAGUGGAAUAAGCAGAAACUCAAAUCGCUUAAUGAGACAAACUUUNACAAACUUUGUGACAAACUUUCUGCUCAUCUAUUCAUCAUGUAGAAAAAAGACUAUAUGUGGGAGGGAAGAACAAAUUUCUAACAUGGAUCCUGGAACAACCCGCCCCCCCGCACAAUCUUCUUGUUAAUUAAUUGGCUAAUCUAUCAUCGUCCCCACCCCCCACUCCCUCCCCCCCCCAAUCUUUUUGUUAAUUAAUUGGCUAAUAAUCUAUCAUCGUUCCCUAUCUACCUCGCCGUUCUGGGCUUUGUGGUCAAUCCAAAUCCAAAAGGAAACAAGGGGUCAUAGUUCUGGUCACCCACAUUCAUGGGAAGUUGGUCGACGGACUUGAACCAGGUGCGCGGGAGCUUCCCGGUGAAGCCGUAAUCUCCGAAGAGGACAUCUGUCACGCCCUGCCCUUCGGAACCUGGCAGCCAAGCAGCUACAAGAGCAUCCAUAACAGAGACAUAAGGCUCGAUCACCACCGGCCGACCGGAGAUGACGACGACCGCACACUUGACAGCACUACAGACUGCCUGGAUCGUGCUCGGGCCUGGAUCCGGAAUGGUCAGGUUGAGGCUGUCCCCAGCAGUCUCCGUGUAGGGGUGCUCUCCCACGACGACGAUGGCAUAGGAGAAGUUAUUGUUCCUUACAAAGUCGUUGUCGGGGUUCUCCGCAAACAGCACGGUGGUUGCUGGGUCGACGGUGGCUUUCACAGCAUCCAGGAUUGUCGUCCCUGCAACCGUCGUAAAGAAUUAGUUUAUGCACCCAUUACCAUUACUAGCUAGCUAGGUGGUUUACCAACCCUACAGAACAGGAUUAAGAUGAGUCUACAUCAAGGAUGAAAUGUGAGCUUAAUUGAUCACCUAAAGUGAUCCUUCCACUAGCUCCCUGCCAUUCUAUCGUCCACCCACCGCAUUGGUAGCCUAAAUUGUCCGCAUGGCUUCCGGCAACGAGUAUCUUAGGAGCGUUCUUAGGAAGAGGCAGCAGAGGCUCAUAAGUUGAUUUCCCAUUUUUCAGAAGCACAAGCGACUUCCUCACAGCCUCCCUCGCUAAUUCCUUGUGUUCCUGCAGAAAUGCCAUCACGUCAGUUUUCGUUCGGUAAUAUGUUUACACCAGGCCAAAGACAUACAUGUAUAAAGAGCACAUGGAGCAGCAGCAGGAGUGAGGGAGAGAGCUCUACUAGUAAGUACCUUCUUUCCAAGCUGAUCGGCUAAGCUGAGAUCAGAUAAAGGGUUUUCGAACAAACCCAUGACGAACUUUACGCGAAGAAUCCUUCUCACUGCAUCAUCGAUUCUGCUCAUUGGGAUCACAUUCAUGUUGACCAGGUUAGUCAGGCUGUUGAUAAAAUCCGCGUAGUUAUUAGGAACCAUCACCUGUCAUGCAACACCGCAUACAGAUGUUAGGACAACAGCGAUCAAAAUAGAAUUGAUAGGAUUAACACCUUUUAGAACAGUGAUAUUUGAUAACAUGUCAAGAAGAAUUACUAACAACGACAGCGAAUUUCCUUUGCACAUUUAUGAACCUUCCUAGCUAUGUAAGUCAGCAGCUAAUAAUAUAUCUCAUUAAAGUCACUGGCGAGUUACAGUAAAAUAACUCUGACCGAGUACCUCAGCAACUUAUGGCAGUAACUUUUUAUCUCACUAAACAUCAUAGAGAGAGAUUCAAAAGGAGCUCCCUCCAAAGAUCAAGAGACACUGACCAUAUCAAUACCGGCAGUUAUGGAAGCUUGGACAGAGUACGUGUAAUUUGCACCAGGAGGACUUGUUAUUCUAUCAAUGCCCUCCCAAUCUGAGAUCACAAAGCCCUGAAAAAUUAUUAGCAUGCAUAUCGUAAGUUCAAACUAUAAGGAGAGAGGAGUAAAUAAGCAGAAACCUAAUAUGUGUUCUUGCUGGUAUCAUGAGCAUUUAGGAAAGCACAGGAAAAAUCUGAGAACCUCGAUUGAUCUCAAUACCCUGAAUUUAAGCUGGUUCUUGAGGAAACGAGUGAUGAGAUCACGAUUGGCAUGCAUUUUGACCCCGUUCCAGCUGGAGUAGGAGAUCAUGACAGUGGAGACACUCUUUGCAAUGGCGUCAUAGUAAGCAGGCACAUGGAUGCUGAAAAGUCCUUGGCGGUCAAUAAUAGUGUUAUUCUCGUUGAUGCCCUUCUGGGUCCCGCCAUCACCAACAAAGUGCUUGGCACAGGCCACAACAUUGUUCCUGUUGAACGGCGCAUAUCAUAUUGAUUCACUCAAUUAGAUCAAAGGAUAAUUCAGAAGCGUUCAGGUACAUAGAUGAACAUCUCUUUAUAACAUCCUUAAUAUAAGCAGUAUUUCUGAUAACCUUGUUUACUAAAUAAUAUACGAAACUCAUAUCUAGAAAAGGAGUAUGUAAAUCUGGAUCGUCAAGUGGACAUUGUGAUCUUACUUUCCAGCAACAUAAGGAAAUCCCCUGGUAUAGUUAGCCGGAACAUCACCCUGUAAACCAGGGAUUAUUUCAGUCAUUGCUUGGACUAUCUUGUGGUCUUCACUGUAGCUUUCGUAGCAGCGGCCCCACCUCGGAUCUCUACAAACCUGCACCACCACCAGCCAAACAAAAGGGAAAUGAAAAUCAUUAAAAGGAAAAGAAAAGGAUUUGUCAAGCUUCACGGUAUCAUAAUCAUCUAACAAUGUUUCAAAUAAAGAAGCUACUUUAGCAAAGUGAAGAAUGUGCUUGUUUACCGCAAUGCAUGGUGCAAAGGCAUAAGGAAUUCCAGUAGCUCUGACUUCAAGAGCAGUUGCCGCACCAAUCCUCUUCACAAGAUCAGGAUCCCUGUAGUUAAGAUUGCAAGAGAAGAAAGGUCAGGGUAACAUGCUGAAAAUGCUAUGCUGACAGCAUGUUCAAAUGGUAGACCAAAUAUGAGACGAGUAUUGGGAGAGCCGACAGAUUUUAUUUCAAAUAUGAUUUAGAAUGGCAAACUUACUCGAUAUCAUUAUUUACUAUACUAUAAAUAAUACAUAUAACAUGACCAGGGAGGUAAUGGAUAUUAUCAUGUUCAUUAGUAUCGGAAAGAAAAAAAUGCAGUAUUUGGAGUUAGAUUUUAGUUAAUCAAUCUUUUCCAAUUAUAAUGCAGAAAGCAUUGCGCGAAUGGGGUAGUAUUAUACUGCUAUCAUCAAUUGCAUGUAGCAUUACGGCACUAAUGCACAGUAUUAUAAUACCAGUAGAAAUUUUCUAUAGAAAAAAGAAAGGGCCAUAUACUUGCCUUGCAGCUCCAAGGCCAAUGUUGUGGGGGAAAAUUGUGGCACCGUAGACAUUGUUAUGCCCAUGAACGGCAUCGAUCCCAUAGAUCAUCGGAAUUCCUAAACGGGUGGACAAGCAGGCCUUUUGGAACUCAUUUAUCAUAUUCACCCAAUCUGCAGCGGAGGCCUGCGGGGCUGGAACACUCCCACCACCACUCAGCAGGCUACCUAUAAAAGAAAAAAGAAAAUAAUUUUGAUUCAUUGAACCUUUAUUCCACUGGUCUUCAUCAUAUAUAGCUGAAGAAUGAGCAAAUCAUCAGUCUAGAAUGUAGAGUUAGACCUAUAUAGUAAUCCUUCAAGACUUGAGGUGUCGCUACUUUUCUCUCAAUCUGAGUCAUCUGGCCAAUCUUUUCUGCAAGAGUCAUCCGAUUCAUCAGAUCUCUGACUCGAACAUUAACCGGCUGGCUGGGAUCUCUGUACUUCAUAUACUCUGCUUCUCCAAGAAAGGCCCAAAAUAGAAGGAACGAGAUGACAACAAAAGUCGUCCCGAAUAACGCCAUCUUGGGAUGGAGUAAGAAGCCAAUCCAACUUCUUCUAACCUGAUUGGGGAAUCGACAGCAUGAGGAAAGAGGUGCGAAGAAGCAAUUAGGCAUAAGCUUACAACAGUAACCCAUGGAGCAAUUGUAGAAUAGGUAGGUGGGUCUUAUGGAAACGAAAUUUUAGAUUGAAAGAAACAAUCGGCAAAAUGAAUCAGAAUGCAGCUAUGAACUAAACCUUGCGUCUUGAGAUAGCCAUGAUCCGGGAGAUAAACUAAUGCAAUAUAUAUAUAUAUAUAUAUAUAUAUAUAUAUAUAUAUAUAUGUUACAGAUCUCAUUACGGUGUAUUAAGGAAAAGAUUUUCUUUUCCUGGACGCAACAAUCAGACCCUGUAAUUGUUAUCAAAGUCAUCGAUAGAUGUAUGGACCUCAGGAUAAAGCAUUUGAAUAUUAUAUCAGAGUUCUGCAAUUUGCAAUAAAAUAUAGUUUUUUAUGUCAUCGGGCACACACAAGGAGAAUAAAUUAUGGGAAUGAUUGGUAAGGAGAAUGCCGCUCGAACAAGCAAAACCAAAUAUCAGCAAUUAGCCAACUCUCGCGAAGAUGACAAAGAUCAAAUAGUCGGCAUCACUACACAAUUUUGACUCUCUCUCUUUUCUUUUUCUUUUUCUUUUUUUUUCAUCCAGCAUGUUAGAAAAUUUAUCAGCCUUUUUUUUUUUUCUUUGGUGGCUUUGGAGAAUGUGAGCUGGUAGCGGGGAUUAACAACUAGAAUUCAAAUAGAAAGCCACAAAAAGGAGAUGAUUUUCAACAAUCUGGCUGUUCAUGCUUUGUCGAAACUAGAGAUAAUGUAUUCCACUUUAACAAUCGUGUUAAAAGAUGUGAAAUAAUCGUUUCAUCUCUUAAAAUCUAAAGUAUUAAAAAAUAGUGUUUAAAUAAUGUAUAUAUUCAACCAACAACAACAGCGAAGAAGAGAGAACCAAAUUUUGUAUGAGGAAAAAUGGGAACGGCUUCUGUGAGUUUGCGAAGAGAGGCAAAAAUCAAUCAAAAUACGAACAAUCGCCAAACAAUGGGGAACCAUUUCUCCGGAAAGAAGCGAUCAAAGGAAGGAAGGAAGGAAGGAAGGAAGGAAGGCAGAAACUCCCAACUAUAAGUGAAUCACGGAAACGAUUAAAAUAAUAAAAAAAAGAAAAAGAAUACAUUGCACGUAUCUCCCCCGCCCCGUCUUCAACGGCGCCUUGUUUUGGCUGUAUCAGCCAUUUGCUGCAGUUUUGAAGGAAUGCAUACGAUAAAAUAGAAGAAUGUUUGUUAACAGCAAACUUCGUCGGCACGAAAUAGACGAGAAGAGGAAAAAGAAGAAGAACAAAACUUCAGUGCCGAAGAAGCAACGCUCAAAACAGGAAAGAGAACUAUGUGCAUUUCCUAAACCCAAAGUCAGGUCUUCUUAUUUACUCUCUUUUUUUUUGUGGGGGUGGGGGAGGAGGGGUUACCUGAAAGAGGUCGAAGGUAGCUUAACCUCGCGGCAGUGGCAGUAAUGAACAAAAACCCAAAUACAUGCCAAGGAAUGAUCACUCACCCUAUUUGGGCCAAGAAAAGUAAAUGAAAGAAAAAAAAAAGAAAAAAAGAAGAGGAAAUAAAGCGAAAGGGACUCACAGAUGGUAAGGAGAAGAGGCAGAAGUAGCAAGUCCGAGGAGAUUUAAAGGAACAGCAGGGAAGAUUAAUUAGGAAAAGAAGCACUCCACUCCACCUCCUCCUUCCCUUUACGCAACGCAACUACUCUCUUCUCCGCCGCCUCGUUCUCUGUUUUCGCUGGAGGGACGGGUAGGGAGAGAGUAGUUACUACUACUGGUAAUAAGAGAGUGUGGUGGGAGAGGGGCAACGAAGCCGGGGGACUUUCUUAAUUCUUAUAAUAAUAAGGAAGGAAGGAAGGAAGGAAUCGCAAAAUAAUAAAAUAACAUUAUUAUUAUUAUAAUAGUUAAAUUGUAACGGUCGAGUCUGUUUCUUGGAACUAUUUACUGGUCUAGUCUCUUUACAAAUUUUUUUUUUUUAUUUAUUUAUUUUUUUAAUAUUUCCAAUUUAGCCUUAUUUUCAUAGAUUGUGAAAAAAAAUAAUAAAUUAAUAAUUUUUAUAUUAAUUAAUAUGUUAAGUGGGUGGAGAUUAUUUUUUUUCUCUUUCAUUUUAAAUUAAGUGAAUGUAAUGUGAUUUUAUAUAUGAACACUUUUAAAUUAUAUUGACUUGUAUAAUCAAAUUAAGUACUAAUAGUACUAAUAAAAAAAUUAUAAUUUAGAAAUAUUAUUAUUAAUAAAUAAAUUUUUUAUUAAGUGUUCAUAUAUAAAAUCACAUUACAUUCACUUACUUUAAAAUGAGAGAGAAAAAAAUAAUCUCAAUCCACUUAAUAUAUUAAUCUAUAUAAAAAUUAUUAACUUUUCAUUUUUUUUCUAGUGCGAGGCUAUUAUGCUUUUGGAAGCACGGAGCCUUCCGUGCUUCCACGUCGUUUUCGAUGUUGCGACUUUCGAAUCGUCGAUCGGCUCCGUUAAACUUAAUCUAGAGUAUUUAAAGUACCUAGAAAAUAAAUUUUAUGAUUUUUCGAUAUCAUUGGCCUAGUGAUCGAAGGGGCUCAAAAUCAAUAAUUUUAACGGCCAUAGUGAGCCGUUUGCAAGUUUAACGGUGUAAAAAUAUCCAAAUCAUGUAAAAUUUUGAUAGAAAAUUUUUUAUACUAUAUAAAACAAGAUCGAUAUUUUUGAUCUAAAAUUUUAAUGUCAUAUUAUCACGUUUUGUAAAAUUUUUAUUUUUAGCCGUUGAUUUUGAGCCCCUUCGUUUACUAGGCAAAUAAUAUCAAAAAAUCACAUAAUUUAUUUUUUAAAUACUUCAAAUACUCUAGAUUAAGUUUAACGGAACCGAUCGACGAUUCGAAAGUCGCAACAUGAAAAAUGACCUGAAAGCACGGAAGGCUCCAUGCUUCCAGAAGCAUAAUAGCCUCACUCUUUUUUCUAAUCUAUAAAAAUAAGGUUAGAUUGGGAAUACUUUUCAAAAGGAUGCUAGAUAGGAAAUUUUUCUUUGUAAAGAGGCUAGACAAGUAAAUGAAUCCUGUUUCUUGUGAGUGAGUUAAAUUACUAAAUGAAAGAAAAUCAUUGGCUGGGGCUACCGGCUAGUCUGGGAAAUUCACCACGAGCAGCCGUGCGUGCCGGAUACCGAGCCAGGGUUUUGAACUCGAGCAAUGCCAGUUUGGACACUCGCAAUAGGUUUAAAUUUUUACACUUUUGUCCAGUAAAAAUUAAAUUUUCUGCAUCCAUUUUAUUGUUUCUCUUUGUUUAAUACUAAAAUUUUUAUUUUUAAAAAAAAUUUGUGGAUGAUGAGAUAUAAAAUUUAAACUCAUUUUUGAAUGUAUAGAUAGUAUUCCUUUUUGAAUCCUACCUUACUAAAUUGAAUAUUUCUACAACCAAAAGUACUGCUGUUGUAUGUUCUUAAUUAUUGUUAUUUUUUAUUAUAUAUAUAGAAAACUUUGAUCGAUUAUAUUUUAUUUAAAUUUUGUUUAUUGGUUAAUGUGUACUUUCUAAAAGCGUUAUAUAAAUUUGCGGAUAGAUUGACAAUUUAUAAAAUGAACUUUUUAAGAGGCUCAAAGAAUUAUCCUUUGAGAGAAAAAAUGCAAUAUGUAUGCUUAUACACGAACGUAAAGCUCAUAUAUACCCCUGCGCACGAUUCUAAACUUCAUAAUAGAUCAAAUUAAUUUUCCGUCAAAGCAAAAAAUUGAUAAGAUAAAUAGGGAAUAAGAGUUUUCGGACGAAUAGGAUAUAAAAUCUAUAACUAUUCUAGGAGUGAACAUGUUGCUCGUCCUUCAUUCGUAUCUUGAUAAGCUCCAAUAAAAUAAUGUAAUCUAACUAUCUAAACAGAGAGGAGCAAAUUAGCUUAUUUAUUAUUUAUGUAACUUUCUUAAAUUUGUAUUUUCGCUGAUUGAUGAUGUAUGAGACAGUUGCAUGUUUAUUUUAUUUGAUUUUCUCCUUUGGGAUUAAUUAAUGAAAAAAAAAAGAGUGGGUAAUUUGAGAGAGAAACUAGCCGUUACAGGAGGUGGGCCUCCGCCUCGCCAUCUUCGCGUCAGCCAUGUUCCUCCUCCUCCUCCUCCUCCUCUUUUGUACAGCAUUCCCAACGGAUUGGUCGGCAGCACGACCCCCACUCCGGUCUGUCGACACACUGAAUAAUGCUGGCAAGGUGCUUGGCCGCUUGCACGCAAAAUAAAUUUGAUAUGAUAAAUAAGAAAUAGUAUAUAGCUCUUUUAAAUGACCAAAAAAUAUAUAAUAAAUAUCACACUUUGAAAUGUACCACCAAUAACAUUAAUGCUUAACUCUAUACAAAGUAUUAUCGAAUCAUUGCUUCACUCUAUUCAUUAUGCGUGUGGACAAACAAAUUUUGAAAAAGAAAGAGGAAAAAAGAAGGGGGGAGCUUAAUUUAAUAUCUAAUUUAGAAAGAUUACGCGCCACCUAACUAAUAAAUGAUGUCAAUACGCAUGCCCCAUAGUCAUUUUCUACCAACGUUAAUGAUGAUAUUACCUAAUUGACUCUUCACAAUCAACAGAACAAUGACAAAUUUGUUCGCAUUGAUUAAAAUUGGUCAGAUUCAUGCAGCUACCCAUCUGUCAAGUAAAGCUGAAAUAAGUUAGCCUGCAAGGGAAUCUGGUACUGCUCUGUAAGCGGUGUGGCAAAAGUCUUUUGAAUGAAAACUCCACAAGGAUUUCAGAAAGAGAAGAAACAAGUUUAGUAAGAGAGCUAUCUUAUGUUCAGGGCUGCAUUUGAGACAACAACGCCUAAACGUGCAGCUAGUAAUGAGUAAUUUCAUUAGAAAGAUUAAUAUAACCAGACGCAAAAGUGACGCACCUGAGCUCUGCAGCUUUCGCUACCACCAAUCAAGCGAAGGCUAGCUCAUACUGAGUCCCUCUGAGUCCCCACAUCCUCACUCGCUUUAAAUGAUGGUGCAGAAGAAAUCAAAAGGCUCCCAUGAUGUCCUCCCAAGUACUCAGCCAGGUAACAGAUAUAGUCAGGUUACGUUAAUUAGUCAGGUACAUACCUACAUACCUAUAUACGCAUAACUUGCCGCCAUAGUAAUCACUCAGCAAAAAAAUUCAUAGACAAUACGGUUAGGAUCAAUAUGCCGCAAUCAAUGACAAAAGGCAAACCGCAUCUGUUAGACUAAGAUCCAGCUAGCAUAAACCAUGACAUGGAGGGUUGGUAUGAAGUUUCAAUCCAUGGCAUGCUCAGAUGCAGAAAACCGCCAACCACAACAAUAAUAAUGGUAAAAAUGACAAAGAGAACAACACGAACAAAGUAUCAGAACUAAAAGAUCAAAGCUGAGGCACAUUUUUGGGCCCCAGCAAAUAAGCCGGGACUGGCGCCUUCAGCUUGUGAUGCGAGACUCACCUUUCCAAACUAUGGUCCAAUCCAGUUUGAGCACCAAAUGACGAGUAAGAUUUAAACUGGACCAAAUUAUUAGUUUAACACCUCCAUACUUCAGCCCACUCAAUGUGGCUCUGAAGUAAAAUAAAUUUAUUUGUUCAACAACUCCAGUGCCGAUAUCAUUGCACCAAAUAUCACUACUAAAGUACCACGAGUGUGAAGUGCGACAAAAGCUUGUCAAGUGAUAUGGUAUGUAAGGAUUGUUUAGACAAAUCCAAGAAAAGAUCUGACAUCUGUUUGAAAUGUCUCUAAGAAUGGCGCUGACCGGAGGCCAUCCAUCAGUAUAUGCUGUGCCUAGUAGCAUCAGCUAGCCUCUUGAGGUCGCCCGACGGGGCAGGAAGACAUGUUUUUAUCAGAUACUGUGCAACCAGACAGAAAAUGUAAGAUGAGAAGAGAAAAUACAUUUAUUAAUUUGGAUAUUAAACAAAAACAAUUAGCAAACAACGCACGCUGGCAUUUUCAAAACAUAGAGUUAGACUGCUGGCAUAUGAGAGUUUAGUCGAGAAAUUUUCACAAAUGUGCUUCCAACCAUCAUAAUCCUUUUUUUAAUCUAGCCAAGCAUGCUAGUCAAGAUACCGAUCGGAUUUUAAUGACAGCAGCACGCAUUUUCUACAGACUGCAGCCUUUCCAACUUAGGAGCACAUAAUUCUUUCUUCUUUGGCGGAAUUGUCUGCUGUGGCUCCUGGCCCCCCAGAGGGACCAAACUUCAUGCCUGGGAAGAAAAGAUUGCUUAAUUAUCAGUGAGUGGAAAGGAGUUCGCCAACCUGAAAUCCAUUAUUUGAGGAUGGAGAUCAGCAUAUAUAGCAUCCAUCAACUCACUUAGUUUGUCUUGCAUGGCUUUGCUGUUGCUGCUGCUACUGCUACUGCUACUGCUACUGCUGCUGUUCGAGGGCAUAUAUUGUCUUAAAUUAGUCCAGUUUACGACAAUGUAGGCCUUCCACCAGUAGUCCGGUUAGAAAAGCACCAGUUUACGGCAAAUUGAAGCAGAAAACGUCAAGAUCAUGGACAGGAAUUGAAGAAGAUUGCUGAAGUAGAUGCUUAGAGGCUUUUUCUAUUGUUAUAUUCAAAAAAACCAAACUCCUGUCUUCUUGUUACUGCCAAUGUUAUAAUCAAGUAGAGGAACCCAUUAAUCGGGAGGUAGAUAAGAGGUAAUUAAUCACAACUUACAAUACCCGUAGGAAACUCUGACAGUUUUCUGAAAAUUUAGGCACAAAAUGCUCGCAUAUUUUGGAAUCCUUGAUCAAUUGCAAAAGAAUAGCGGGACUAGAAUAUUAUUGUUAGCAGCAAGUGUUUGCUACUAUCAACAUUUCGACGCUUGGAUGCCAAAAAUUUAGGUUUUUGUGAUGGUACCAUUAUGGAUUCAAGAAGAAAAAUGUUGACAUAUAGUAACAAAUAUUUUAUUACUAUUAAUAGUGUUCUACCUCAUCUCUCUCUCUAUAUAUAUAUGCACAAGACUGGCGUGUUUCUUUUUGGUUGGAAAGAUUCCUAAAAGCUUUUUUUUUUUUUUUUUUUUUUGAAAAAGAAAACAGGUCAGCCCAAAAGGACUGACCAAGGUGUACUUAAUAAUGAAAGAUUAACAAUUAAAAUUCCUAAAAGCUAAUUAUCUAAUAAAUGAUUAGAAAGAGUACCGACAGAUAUUCACGCCUAAUCAAUUAAAAUAGCGCCCCACUGAAAUGAUCUAAUAUUUACAUGAGGUUGACAGAAGCUCGAAAUGAAUUAUUAAGCAGCCUCGGCGAGGGUGGUCGGUAGUGCGAAAUUCUGAACCCCAUGGAUGGACCUCUCGUACGUCUCUCCGUCCCCCCACACCGCAUACGCAUCCUCUCCGUGUAUGGCGUCGUCGCCAAUCUGCAGCUCAUCGUCGCUGAGCCGCAGAGGAACGGCGAGCCUGACGAGCAAGCAUACGAGCGUGGUGACAGUGACGUUCACUGAUAUAAUGAAGACUAUGCCGGCUAACUGCAUCCCGAUCUGGCGGAAGCCGGCGGCAGCCCGGCCCAUCUUGAGGGCGUAGGCGAGACCGACGUACUUGGGAUCGUCGCCGAAGAAGAGGCGGUUGAGCCUGGGCUCGGCGAAUAUGCCGGUGAGGAUGCCGCCCAAGCUGCCCGCGACGGCGUGGGUGUGGAACACGGCGAGGGUGUCGUCCACUCGCUUGAGGAACCGGAUCCUCUUGUGCAGCACCAUCAUCGUGAACCACGGGGUGCUUCCCGAUAACACCCCCAUGAUGAUCGCGGCCCAUCCUUGGACCAGCCCUGUUACAUUCAUUCAUUCAUUCAUCCAUUCAUUCAUUCGGUUAUAAACUAUUUGUAAUUUAUCUGAGGGUGAGGGUGAGGGUGAGGGUGGGUGCUGUGUUGGACGUAGCACUAGCUAGUAGGUACCUGCGGCGGGGGUGAUGCAGACGAGGCCGGUGAUCAUGCCUUGGACAGCGCCGAUGACGGAGGGCUUGCCGAAGACGAACAUGUCGAGGCAGAGCCAGACGAGGAGGCUGGUGGCCGUGCAGAGGUGAGUGUUCAGGAUGGCCAUGGAGGCGUCGAUGUUCGCGGCGUAGGGUGCCCCCCCGUUGAACCCGGUCCACCCCAUCCAUAACAGGCCUGCUCCCGUUAGGGUCAGCAGGAUAUUGUUGGGUGGGAACCUCUCCCUAUCCUUCGCCAUCCGAGGACCCACCUGUGGAUCGCGAAGCAAGUGAAUCAUCAUCAUUAUAUUUAAAAAGUUGAAAAAGCCCAAACUAAACAACCCGAAACGAGAAAAAUCUGAGCUACUCCGAAAUUACCAUCUAAUCUGAUCUAAUCUAGUUAGGCUUUGAAAACAAAAAUAAUACUAACAAUCCGAACAAAAUAUCUUAUCUUAUCGUCGGAGGUGAUUUCUUAUCGUCGUGGAAUCGCAUUAAACGUACGUUCAGAUUGUUUUGUGUGUUGUUUCUGAAAAAAUUUGCAUGGCGGCCGAACGAGAUCUGAGCCGCUAGCUCUAGUAGUAAAAAAUGAACUAGCUAGUACGUAAUAAAAAAGAAAACUAGCUAGAGCUAGUAGCAAUAAUGAAAAUGAAAAGUGGUACGACGUAAUGAAAAGAAGAGUCGUGCAUGCAGGAGGUAGCGUAUGUACCCAGUAGGCGGCGGUCAAUCCGGCGACCCCCGAAGAGAGGUGGAUGACGUAGCCGCCGGCGAAGUCCAUGACGCCGGCCUUGAAGAGGAAGCCGUUGGGGCUCCAGACGCUGAAGGCGCCGACGGUGUAGGAGAAGGUGAGCCAGAGCGGGACGAAGAGCAUCCAGGCCUUGAAGUUCAUGCGGCCGAGGAGCGCCCCGGCAAUGAGGAUCAGCGUGAUGGCGGCGAAGACGAACUGGAAGUAGACGAGGGUGGCGCUGGGGUAGAGCCCCGCGAAGCCCUGGGCCAGCAGGAACCUCUGGUCGAGGGCGGCCAAGUCCGGGCGGCCCAGGAAGGGCAGCAGGCGGUCGCCGAAGGACAUGCGGAAGGCCCAGAGGGACCAGCAGACGAAGGUGACGGCGAAGGCGUAGAGGGCCAUGAAGGCCGAGUUCACGGCCCACUUCUUCUUCACGAUGCUCCCGUAUAAGAUCACCAGCCCCGGCACGCUCUGCAGCCCCACCAGCGUCGCCGCCGCCAGCUGCCAUGAGUUGUCCCCCUUGUUCAGCCACUCCGGCGCCGACUCGCUCGCCAUGAUCUUUCUUUUCUUUCUUUCUUUCUUUCUUUAUAUUUUAUAUUUAUUUAUAUAUUGAUCGAUCAAAACUUCUCUUCCGACCAAGGCCCCCCCUCUCUUUCUCUCUUUCUCUCUCUUGAUAAUGAUGUUCUCCUCCUCCUCCUUCGAAUUGCAACUUGGUGUGAGGAUGGGAAGGGGAGAUUACUGUUAUUAUUUAUAUAUAUAUUAUUACAUAUAUUAUAUAGUAAAAUAUAUAUAUAUAUAUAUAUAUAGAGAGAGAAGAGAGGUAGAGGGCGAAGAGGAAUUGGAGUCGGAACAGAAUAUUUAUAUUUAAAUUUUAAAUUUGAAUUUAAUUUAAUUUAAUUAAUUAAAAGCCAUGUGGCAGUAGUAGUAGUAGUAGUAGUAGGAAAGAAUUAAUUCCGGCUGUCUCCGAAAGCGCCGGGGAGCCGCACAGCAAAUUUGCUCCUCCGAAUCAGUAGUCACAGCAAAUUCGCUCUGUUGUUAUCUGCUGUGCUGGAUCCGAAAUAGUAGGAAGCUGCCAACUAAUCGAAUCUUCAAGCCUCUCAGAUUCCGUCAAACCAACGAGUUUGUUAAGAUCCUCCCCCUCCGCCAGUCACUGCUGCCCGGACCUGGUACACCACGUCAUCCAUGGGCCGGCCCCCAUUUUUCACCAGUAUAUUUUUUAUAUCUAUUAUAAUAACUAAUUGAAUUAAAAAAAUCAGCUAGUUUACUUUCGCUUCUACGGGGGGGCACCGUACGUCGGCGGCAAAGAAAAUUUUUUUUUAAGAGAAAGUAAACUAUUUGUUUUAUUUAUUAAGAAAAAUAAAUUUACCUUGAAAAGAGAGAAGAAGAAAGGUAUACAAAAGUUUAUAAAAAAGCCGAAAGAAAAAAAAAAGCAAAGAUAUUUUUUUUUUUGAACAUCAAAGAGACACUUUUGUUAAAUAUGUAUUCCUAUAUAAAUUUUAUUCCUAAAGCAUAUCAAGGAUUUUUUUAUCAAAAUAAUCUUAUAAAAAUUUAUAUUUAGAUAAAUAAUCAUAUGAAAAAAAAGGGGCAUACUAAUCCUUUUUUUUCCCGACUAGGCGUUCAGGUUGAAUUUUUAAUUAAAGACGCCUUUGAAAAGAAGGUGAAUGAUUUACCGUUUUACAGUUUUCCACAAAGCCGGUGACUCAUUCCUCAUCUUAUUUUUUUUUUCAUAUAUAUCCUAACAAUCAUAUAAAAUUUCAACAAAUUAAUUCAAUCUUAACAAACAAAAAAAAUCUUAAUAAUCUAUCCAUAUAAUUCUAACAGCCAAAUAAAAAUUUUAAUAAUUCACAUACAAUCUUAACAGCAAUAUAAAAAUUUUAAUUUUUCUAUUUUUUAUAUAUAAUCCUAACAACUAUAUAAAAAUUUCAACAAAUCAUAUUUUUAAUUUUUUAUAUAUGAUCAAAAUAAAUAUAUAAAAAUUUCAACAAAUUAAACAUAAUUUUAACUGUCUAAAAAAUCUAAAAAGCAAUCUUUUAGAAGGUGGUGAAUCGUUCACUGUCAUAGUAGAAUAUUAUAUAAGCAGUGAAUCGUUCACCAUUCACCGUUUUUAAAUUAUAAUUUUUGUUGGUUUAAAUGGACAAGCAUCCUGUCAUGUGACGGGAGGACAUGUUGAGCCGAGUCAUGUUCAAAAUGGCGUGAGAUUGGAUGAGCCGAGUCAUGUUCGAAGUGAUGUGAGGCUGGAUGGGCCGAAUCACAAUCGAGAUUCGUGGGCGCUAUUUCUGUACAUUUUAAGUAAAUUGAUUGUAUAUUUCUAACCGUUCGAGCUUUUGGAAUUAAUAGUUAACACCUAUGACAAUUUUGAUCAAAACAAGAAUAUCUAAGGCAAAUAUGGGAUGUGUAAUCAUACACAGCAUCCAUGAAUCUUUCAAACAAAAUUGGUAGCUCACCAUAAAUAGAAAGCUUAGUAUGACAGCAACAAAUGCCAACAAUUAAAGUACUUUACACAACCAAAUCAUGGUCAUAAAAAAGAAUCGUAAACAGCAAAAAUCACUGUCAAAAAUCGACCAUUAUAUUUUCGGACUGACAGUGGAAUAAUAAAAAGCAGUUUUCUUCUCAUGAAAAAAGAAAAGGAAAAAGAAAAAGAAGGAAAAAAAAAAAAACCCAGCUUGAAACAAAAUGCACAACCUUAUGCUGAAGAAAAAUCGACAGAUAGAAGGCUGUCAUUAAUUCAAGCUGUUUUCUCUUUAUGCAAGUUGAUGAAAGGGGGCAAUGAAGAAGACCAAUCAAAAACUAAACAGUCGCCAGUAAAAUUGAUAACAACCUGACAUAUAACAUAAGCACAUCUGAAAUGGUAAUUGAAACAACUAAAGAUCUUCGGUAUAAACAGAUUCUUACAUUCUUCAUGCCAAAUAUGUGUCGAAAACCAACAAAAAAGUUAAUUGCCCCCAAAAAACUUGUAUCAGUAAUUAGAAAUGAAGGUGUCUAAAAAGUAAUUACCUCCAAAGUGUGUGACUCUUGCUCCAUAAAUCUAGCAGCAUAAGUAAAUACUGAAAAGUGAGGUACGAGGAAUGAAGCCUGGUCCGAGAUCUCUUCACUGACAUCUUAUGAACUCACAUGAGUAAAGCCUAGGAAUGGAUCAAAGAUUAAGGAACCAAAAAAAAAAAAACAGUCACGAGAGGAUCUUGGACCAGCCUCCAUUCCCAACACCUACUCUCCUUCUUCCAAUAUCCCUCUGCCUUUCUAACAUCCAUCACUCACUCUCAUGAUUCCCCAAUCAAAUAUCUCUAGAUUUUAGGAAGAAGCCCUGAGAUCCUACUCCUUAUGCAUGCCAUGAUGGGUAUAUAAUCUAAGACUGCACAUGAUGGACAGGACACUUUUUGUGCAAAAUAAUAGAAAAUUAGGUGGGCUUUGCAAGAGAUGUUGUCUUCUUCUAUGGCAUGUUCUUUAUGGGAGUGAGUGGAAUGAAAAGCUUUUGCAGGCUUUAAUUGAAGAAAAGAACAGCUAAAAUAACAUGAAAUAUCAAGAACCUGACGGAACAACACUGUGGAGGCCUCAAAUGGUGGGGAGAAUGAGGGUUGUCCUUUAACGUGUUUUAUCCGUGGUGAGCUGAGGUCCAGAUGAAAAGGCCAUCCGCAAGACUUCAACAAGACAGGAUGAGGCCGGUAAUGGCUUGUAAAGAAGGUGGAAAGCAAGUAGGAAAAAGAUAACACCGACCAAAAGCUAAAAGCCUAAAUACAGCAACAUGAAGAUGAUGUGUGCUAAGAUCAGAAUUUAUCAUAUAUUAUCCUGGCCAGAUAAUAUUCUUAGAAAAAGCAACAAAAGAUAUAGAAUCUAGCAUUCACAUGCUCAAAGUAAAGAAAUAAAUGUGACCAAGGGUGAAACUAGAAAAGUUCUUAAUAAAGGGUUAAUCAAACAAUAAUGCCGGGACUAAAGGACGAAAUGAACUCCUUUGACAUAAUUUGAUUCUUUUGAAGCACAUAAAUAUGAUUCCAUAAGUUUAAAAUCCAAAUGGCGUAUAACCUUUUACCAUCGGUAAAUAUAUAUGGUCAUCCACUGCAGAUGGGGUAAUGUAUCUCACAAACUUACAAGGUCCUAUCCUUUUGUCUUUUGGCUUCACCCCACCAAAUCUCCUUUUCUCUCAUUACAAUUUAGGCUUUUAUGAUCCGUACUGUCAUCUUUUGAGCCAAUAAUUCUCCUUCUCCACUCAGUUGGAAUAAUAAUAAGAUUCUUUCAUUGCCUCAAUCUUCCUCCUCCUUCCUUCAAUUAGAAAAAACCAUCAUUCAGUCUAUGGACCUUAAUCGUGGUGUAUAGUUCUUCUGAUGCUAACAGGUCACCCGCAAUGUACACACAGGAGAAUAAAACAAACAAUCAAGAUGAAAGGACUAUUCUCUUCAUAGCAUUAUAGAUAAAUUCUAAUAAUCAAGAGUGUAACAACACAAGUAUCUGUGACCCAAAAGUUCAGUAGCAUUAUGUCCAACUUCACAUGUGUUUCUAUGGCUCUAAUUCUUAUUAUGAAAGGUAAAAUGGCAUGGCUUUUGUUUCCAAGAGUCAAAGCCACUAGGAUACUACUUUGUAACCCCAGUUUCCUAUCAAAAUUACCGCUAAGCAUCCUAAAGAGAAAAGAAAAAUAGAGGCAGCGCAAAUGUUUUGCUGUCAAAAUCAUUCAAAACAUUAUAUAGCUAAAGUAUAUCAGAAAGGUGCGUAAUAAGAAUGUCUUCAUAGAAUGUUUUCAUAGAGUGUUGUGAUAAUGUUUUGCUGUCAAAAUCAUUCAAAACAUCAUAUAGCUAAAGUAUAUCAGAAAGAUGUAUAAUAAGAAUGUCUUCAUAGAGUGUUAUGAUAGACGAGAACAGUUAAUAUUAACAAGGUAGAAUAGACUUGUGUCCACUAAUCAGAUUUGACAACACCAUACUCAUCAAAAAUAUCUUGAAUUUUCUCCAUCAUUCGGGUGUGCAAAUUCACAUAUCAAAUUUCUGUGCAGAGUUAAAGAAUUAAAAGGAUUGCCACUCUUAUCUUACAUACCUUCUCAAUCUUCAAUUUCUCCGAGUUUUAUCCAUUUAUAUGAACCCUCGGGGAUGGCAUCAACUUACCGGCUAACAAAAUAGCACAAGCUCAUCUUUCGGUUGUAUUGGUCUCCUAUUUAGGUUGCUAAAGCCCCUAUUCUAAAGGCCCUGAUAUAUAAGGGUCCACCCACUUUUUCAGACGUUCCUCAGUUACUUCAAUGCACACAUCUCAAAUCAACCGACUAAACUUUGCUCAACAACUAUAUGCAUCACUAUUGCCUCCACGUUUUCGUUUCUAACCUUUUCCAAGUCCCUGCUCUUUCUGAAUUAGUUCAUUUGUAGAUAUACAGAGCUGGAAGUACAGCUUGCAAUUUGAUUUACACUGAUGAGGAUAGCCUUUAUCUUGAACAACAAAAUCUGAGAGAAUAGCUGCACAUAAAACCUUAUAGAUUCUGUUUGAAAAUUCAACACAUGAUAUGCUACAAUGAUUCGGAGUAUAUACUAUGCAGAGCUAAGUAGCAAAAUAGAUGUGGACAACAUUGUUUGGUAAGGAAAGUUUUUCCUCUCAUUAUAUUCUAAAAAGAAUGGAUAAUGUCAAAAACUUAAAAUACAAAAUGCAAGCAGCUGCAUUUACCCAAAGCUGCCACCAAUCACUCUGAUACACAGGAAAAAUUACAAUCACAAGAAAAAGAGCAAGGUACAAGCUAAGAACAUUACUUGAGAUAAUCAAUGGCACACAUGUGCAAACAAAUGCUUGAUUGAAUUCGUCCAAAGGUACAAAUAAAGCUUCCUCCCACACGAUAAUACUAUCUUAUGCAGCAACAGCUGGAUCCUGUGUUAACAACAACAAUAUCAGAAUAGGAUUAAGAACAUAGCACUAUGCUGUUUCAAAAUAAUAUUAAACAUAGGGAGAGUCCUGGCACGACUUAGAGAAGUAAUGGUCACACAGUGUUUGGUUGGAGGAAUUUUAUCACAGGAAUAGGAUAAACUUUGUAGAUCAAGUUGUUAUCCUCAUUGCAUUUAAAGGGAUUGCCUAGGAUAAUUGGUUACAUAUGAGAACGGUAGGCUUGUAAUAUUUCCACUCAACUCGUGGAGUUGCUACUCCAGAAAUAUGGCUGCCCAUGGAAAUAGUUCCCGAUUCUAGAUUAAAAUCCCACAAAUGCCAACUGUAUUUGGGGGGAUACUAUGGUUGAAUACUGAGGACAUUUACAGUUAGUUCUACUCUGAACAUAAAAACUACAAAUAGGAAAGCAACCAUGAAAUAAUAUCAAGAAGAAAUAGUUGUAGAUACUAAUUCGUUUUGGCUUCUCUUAUGAGGAAGACAUAAUGCCAAGUGCUCCAAUUGUGACAACCGUCUAAUAUUUGUAGAAAAGAUCCAUACUAAAAGACAAUGGCAUAAGAGAUAAGCUUAUUUGCUAUUCACAUAUUCCUUUCUUAUUAAACCUCAAGGAGUUCAAAGAAGAAAUCUAUUGUCUACAGAAUUUUGGAUCCUACAGUUCCAUAAGUGAUAAACAUGGCUAAAUAAUCAGAUGACAGGUUCAGUCAACUUUUGCCCAGCCAGACAAUAUUUAAAAUGAUUUGAAGUUAAUGAAAAUAGAAGAUAAAAUAAAAGGAAACUACAACGCAAGAAGUUGAAAAAAUAAAUGCAAACUUUUAAAAAGUACACGCCAAUUGUUAUCUUUCCGGGGGGGAGAAUACAAAAAUUUGGAGACAUACAAAUUAAGAAUGUAUAUCUCUGCAAACUUGCAUCAUUUAGAUUGAUGCAUUAGCUAGAAAUAGUAUACUGUAUAUAGGCUAAUAGAAUCAUUAGCAAUUCAACUAUAGCAUUUACAUCUUAUGUAAGCCACUGCCUCCUCACAAUAAGAAGACCAUGUACUCUGAAAAAUUCCUGGUACAUAAAACUUCUCCUCCAUAGACUAGAAAUCUUUUUAUGCUUGAAGAAUUGCUAAUUACUAUAUGCUCGAAGAGGAAAACAUUUCUAAUGUGUUGUAUGGCCAUGCAACACUAGGUUUUAGAAUAUCAAAUGGAUGUCACUACAUUACAAAUAAAAGAAAAACAAUCUUAAUAGUCAGCUUACCUUUGCUGUUAGAUUGGACACUGCCAAUUGAAACUUCUCUCUUGUUUUUGUGCUUGCAGCAUGGCUAGCCUUUGCCACUUUGCGAAAAGUUCCAUUAAGCCAAGUAGUUCCAGCAGUUACAUACCUAUAACCAAUAAAAACCAACUCCAUUAUUCAUCACACGAUUCAUGUGAAGAGGCUGGAAACUCUGUGCAAUUAUGUUUAUAGAGCUAGCAGCAAAAGAUUGCAAGUCAAAUCCAUGGGUUAUAACUAUUCGGCAAUGUCAGCAUCACUGCCAUUCUUGUUGAUAUAGCAUGAAGCUCAUACACGAAUUUCAACAUGACAAUGUGAAUAAAGCAUCAUUAUAAAGUGGUUUGAUCAAAGUGGCAAAGCAAUCAAUAAGACUUGGAUCAGCAAACAGUUGGCUACUCAUACGAUGCUUCAGCACAAAAUAAUUCACAUCAGCAGUACUUGUGGUGUGACAAGGCGGAAAAUGAUGAGCGCUGACAAGCUAUCAGCGUUCUCUAUAUCACUAUACAUAUAGAUAAUAUUGAAGAGCUCCCUUCAACAUUUUGGUAGCUUCUAGUUUCUUUGCAGCAUGCUUUCCAAUUUUGAGCAAAUGGAUGUGGCAAUAGAAUCUGUUACUUUAAUAGCACAACUUCAAUUCACAGCUACAGUGUACCAGCACCAUAGGUUCCUUAACAUAAUUUGUAACUCAAAGAAUAGAAGACAUAAGACUGACAGUUUAUUGGAUAAUAACAAUACUACAGCAUUUUCAUAUUUUAUCUAAGCGAUGAAAGAAAAUGCUUGAGAAAGUAGAUAUGUUCAAUGUUCCAACUCCCAAGUUUUAUUUCCACUGUUUUGUAGUCCACUAGGAUGGUCUCAAAAAUACGGGGUGUUAAAUAUGGAUAAGAAAAAACCUGUUAGUUUUCACAGCAGUGCCUGUGUCAUUUAGCUUGCGCUCUGCUACUGUUAUGGCAACGAUCGUUUUGUCAGAAACAUGUAACCUUUGAUCCACAGAUUUCACUUUCUCAUUAACGACUGAUAUUCCAACAGAGAUUUUCUCUGAAAGGCCAACCCUCCUAUCGAAAGAUGUAACCUUUGCUGAUGCACUAGCCGUCCAUCGAUGCUUCUCGUCAAAUGCUUUGGCUCUAUUCACAGCGUCUUGUCCAAUUGCUGAACCCCUUGCUAGCAUGCUUGUCACGACAUCAUGGGCUUUACUGACAUAAAUCCGGCCACCGCUGGGACUCGUCUCAACCUACACGGUGAAAUAGAAGCAUGCAUUUCAGGACCGAAGCUAGUCAAUCAGAAUGAUAGAUACAUAGAAGAUUUCAGGGUUUGAGAAAAGCUUAUACUGGAGAUUAAAGACACCUCAACAGUCGGUACAAAAUUUCCGGUAGAAGUUGAGCUCGUCACCUCAUUUACCAUAGAACGCUGGAUGAUGUACAACAAGUUACAGAAAUAAGUGAUGAAACCAAGCCAAAUCAAAUGCAAAUUGGUUGGUCCCAAAUAUAUAUAUAUAUAUAUAUAAAACUUACCCCCUCAACGAUAGGGAUAUAAAUGUAAUUCUCGGCAGGAGUUAUGGUCACUAUCCGGUCAACAAUUGUAGCUCCCUGCACAAGGCAGAACAACCAAACCUCUCGCAAAUAUUCAAAUGGUUUAUUUAUGAAGUAGAGUAUUCUUGCUUUACGCGUGAAUGGGAAUAGAUUCUACAUACUAAAUAGGACGAAAUGCUUGUCUAGCCUCAAGUAGUAACUUUUUCUGCUGUUUAAAUAGCAGAAACACCAGAACACGGAGGCAGUAGUCUGGAUUGGAAAAGGUUUGCCUCUAUGUAAUCCAAUGCUUAAACAAAAGCACACCAUAAUCUAUUUAACAAGCGGAUUUAUUUACCUUAACUAAUGCGGCAAACUGCUGAACCAACAGCUUUUCCAAUCUCGACACAAUAAACGAGCAUUUCUUUACCCUACAUAUGUCGGUAUUACAAUUCAAUAAUGUGCUCCCGCAAUGAUUGUGUCUUGCGAGCUAAGGUCAUUUACCAAUAAGCAAGUUUGAUUCCAUAAAAUUCUCAAGUAAACACUAUAGAAUGAUUGGGAACCCAAAAAGUCUGAAGAGAGAGCAUACCGACAGCAGCAAUGCGAUCUCAAGUGCUUUCGGAUCUCUAAAUGUAACAUAAGCAGUCCUCCCAUUUCCCACAUCACCACUGGCCCCAACAAACACAGCAAAUGUUAGAAAGGAUACUGAAACCCUAAAACUAAGCUUAAUUUAAAACCUGACGAAUAGUGCACAUGCAAACAAACAAUGAAUAACAACGAACACUAGAAGCUACAUUGAUUAAAAGAAGGAGGAGGGAAAAACACAAAAAGGAAAUAAAGAAAGAAAGAAAGAAAAAAGGGAAAAAUCCCUGAUUUGAUUGAAAUCUGAUACAAGAGAUACUUGCCUUUGGAUCUCAACAUACUCGAUGUCGCCGGAGAAGGAGAAGAACUCUCGAAUCUCCCUCUCCCCGGCCAGAUCUGAGAUGUUCCCCACUCGAACCGUUCUUAGCUACCAAGCGAAAAUCCAAAAACAAAAAAAACAACAAAUGGUAUGAAAUUUCCACAAAAUUUAAUUAAUCAAUUGAGGUUGUCACAAAUUUAGAUAGGAAAACAAAAUUUAGGAGCUUCGAUUACCUCCAUAUAGAGAAUCAAAAAGCAGGGGGGAAGCACAAAUAAACAAAAGUAGUUUUUUUUUUCAGGUGUUGGAUUUCAAUCGCCGUCACUCUCGGUCUCGGCUGCUCCGCAGCGCGUUUUAUUUGGCGGAAAACUAAAGCUCGAAGAAAAUCUAAUAAAAUAGUACACCCAUCGAAUUAAUUACUAGUAUUAUUAAAUGGCGAAACUACCCUUGCGUUUCUUUUCGCCAGCAAAGGGGACAUGGUGUCAUAUGUAGAGUUAGCUAGGGGUAGCUGGAGAAUGGGAACGAACGGAAAAGAAAGAUUCGACCCGUGCUCCAGAGGGCGACCUCACUUAUUAGUAUUACCUGAAAAGUCGGGCCCACGCCACUCCCCUUCCCUACUUAAAAUUACCGCAGUACCCUUUCUCUGGUUGGGCAGUGCGGUCCGUGCGGAUAAAGGGAGGGCGUACCCGACCCUUUGAUUCAAAUCUAAGGGUGAUGAUUAGGCGGCCACAUGGGUGGGACCCGCAGAUGGACCUGUCUCCAGCUCAGUCAAAGAAUGUAUGCACUGAUACACAUUCAUUCCAUUCUCUCUGCGCAUGUGGCCGGUGCAACGGCUCUGCCUUCUCUUUUGGUUUGGCCUCUAAUUUCCAAACUGGAAACGAAACAAAUAAAGGAGAAUUAAGCUAGUUCUCACAUGGAUUGUGAUGGUAGGAAAAUUCAGCUAGAACUCUUCAUGUGAUUAGCAACCACAUGGUCAUCGUGAUGUUAGGAAAAUUAUGUUGGAACUCUUCCUAUAACUAGCAAACCACAAUGCUUAUCUCUCGAAGCGGACCUUCUCUGUAUGUAUUAAUUGAUACAAUUUGAUUAUAUUUUUACUUUGCCCCACACGAUUAUUUGGAAAAUCUCUUAAAUUGCCACAUGAUUUUUUUUCGCCAAAAUGUUAAAAUAUCAAAUUUGGUGAUAAUAUAAAGUAGAUUAGCGGGGAGUUCGGCUGCUAUACUAUCGAUAGCACAAAGCACUUUGUGCUAUCAAGUUUUCUACCAUUAGAUUAACCAAUUUGAUUAUUUUUACUCGUUAGAUUAUAUUAUUCAACCAAUCACCCACUCAAUCCUAGAGGGCCCACAUCAUUUUAACCGCACAUCUUUUAAUUCAAUAGUAAAAAUUUUAAUAACACCAAAUUAUUGGAGCUAUUAAUAAUAUUCCGGCCUAGUUCGAUUGGCAGGUUGCAUUUUGUCCUGUAUCCGGUCAACAUAUUGGACCAACCUGGGCUGCGGUAGCCAUUUUUUUCUUUUUUACUAAUGGGAGAUAAACGCAAACCACGUACUAUUGUAUUUCGUUCGAUUGGGCCUUCUGAGCCCAAUAGGCCUUUUUGAGCCCAUUUGCAUCUCCACUGUAGGCUUUGGAUGGAUCUCUCCGUCCCAACUCCCAAGUCCCAACUCACUCGUAAAACAAGCGUGGCAGAAGUAGAACCCCCGAGACACCCUCGUCGUCCUCGUCGUCUUCGCAUUUUCCCUCCGAGCGCCACUCCUCUUCCCGGGGCGACGCGUUCCCGGCGAUGAUCCCCGUAGAAGGAUGCAUAUCCCCGGGUCAGGGCUAGGGUUUCUCCUGAGACUCCACAGGUCCGCGGCGGCGCCGCCGCUGGAUCGCAAGCACGGAGCUCUCGCUUCCCUCUUUGGGAGCUUUAUCUCCUCCUCCAAUGGCCGUGGACAAAUUUGUGGUCGGUUCCGGUCUGCGGAGCGCCGAGGGUUCUGCGGAUACGCUCUCGAGCAGUUCUCUGAUGACGAGUACGAGUGCGAGUACGAGACGCACAAGGUGCGGAACUGUUGGUGCUGUGAUAACUGUAUUUUGCUUUUACUAUUUAGUGGUCUAAAUAGCUUUAUUCUAUUAAAUAUGGGUGAAACUUUGAAUCUUUAGUUAUGGAGUUCCUUUAGAUUAGUCUGGUGCAUUGUUUAUCUCGGACUGUUUUGAAAUUUUUAUCGAUAUUAGAAAUUUAUCUGUACUUGUGCUUGCAUUGUUCUGGUGUUUUUGUUUCCCUUAAAUUCUACUUGUUAUUCACGGAUAGAGCUAUAUGUUAUUUGCAGCCAUCUUCUUCAGUGGCCAACAUUGAUGAGUGGAGGUGGAAACUUAGCAUGCUCUUGCGGAGCAGUGAUGAACAAGAAAUUGUUUCUCGAGACAAAAGAGAUCGACGCGAUUAUGAACAGAUCUCCAACCUUGCAAGAAGAAUGGGGCUUUACAGGUAGUCGAGUGCUACUCUUUCCUGCAUUCUACCUCUCCCUUGCUUUAACAGGUAGACUUCUUCUAGUGUAAAACUUGCUCAUUCAUUCCAUGCUUUUUUCCACCCAACGUGCAUAGUGAGCUCUACGGGAAAGUGGUGGUGGCCAGCAAGGUUCCUCUGCCAAAUUACAGGCCUGAUCUUGAUGAUAAGCGGCCGCAAAGAGAGGUGAUAGCUAGUAGUAUCCAAUUUUGUGUGUUGUACUUCUGACAGGUAGUUAAUCUGCUCUGUGAGAGUGGUGUUCUAUUGUUUUGCCAUGCGUGUUGCAGGUGGUGAUCCCUCUUAGUUUGCAGAGGAGAGUCGAGGGUCUCGUCCAGGAGCACCUUGAUAGGAUGAUGCUGACAUCUGACAAAGUUGGUGAUAACUCGCAGCAUAAUGCUGUAGCUGAAAAUACUGAGGACAUUAAAAUGGAUGAUAACCAAGAAUCUUUGAUUGAUGGGUCAGUUAUGGAGAAAAUUCUUGAGAGAAAGAGUUGGCGUUUGCGGAAUCUGCAAAGAGCCUGGCAGGUUGACUAUUUGUUAUAUGCUGCUUGUUGACAUUAAGCCUAUCUAUAUAAAAGUGCACUCCAUAAAGCAAGUGUGAAAAAUCUCAGCCGAUGACUCAUGUAGUUGUGAUAUCUUUAGAUCAUAGAGGAAGUAUUAGAUGACAAAAGUUUGUAUAUCCAAAUAUUUUGUACGAAUGGUAAAAUUUUUACUUUCAGAUCUUGAGUCAGCUUGUGCUUUUUUGAUACUGUAGGGUUGUUUUGCUUCACCUAUAAAGUGUUAUUGGUAUUCCUUCAUAUUAUUGUUUAUCUGAUGACUGAUUGAAUCCAUAAUUUGAUCAGGAAUCUCCUGAAGGUGUCAAGAUGCUUAAAUUCAGGAGAUCACUUCCAGCGUUCAAGGAAAAGGAGCGACUCCUGUCUGCCAUUGCUCGUAAUCAGGUCUUAAUUUUUACAUAUGUUUUUCCGUUAUCUUUCUAUAUAUGCUACUUGCAUCUAAUGCCUCUGUUGUGUUGGUCAAAACGAACAUCUGGCUCUUUAAGAUGAUGCACAGAUGGCUUGUUCGGCCUCCCCAAAGCUUCUGUAGAAAGUGAGAAUUAAAUUUGUCUCUUUCCUUGUAAUAUUUAAUUUUAUUCACUGACAGAUCAUAGUUAUCUCUGGGGAGACUGGAUGUGGCAAAACAACUCAACUGCCGCAGUAUGUGUUAGAAUCUGAGAUAGAGUCUGGUCGUGGGGCAUUCUGUAAUAUCAUCUGUACACAGCCACGGAGAAUAUCUGCUAUGGCAGUUGCAGAGAGAGUUUCUACUGAAAGAGGCGACAAUCUUGGUGAAUCAGUAAGAUUCUUGUGAAUAAUUAUCCUUGUUUCCUUACUAUAUUCUAACUUCUCAAAUAUAGUAGCUCUUUUCUAGAAUGUUUGUUACAAUUUCGAUACAAUGGUAGUCUCUUUGAUAGGUUGGUUACAAAGUUAGGUUGGAGGGAAUGAAGGGAAAAAAUACGCAUCUGCUGUUUUGUACUAGUGGCAUUCUGCUUAGAAGAUUGCUUGGGGACCGUAAUCUUAAUGGUGUAACUCAUGUUUUCGUUGACGAAAUUCAUGAAAGAGGCAUGAAUGAAGGUGCUUUUCUUAACUCUGGAUAAUUUGUUUGCCUUAUUAGAGGGCCUCUGAGUACAACCUACUCUUUGGCAGGUACUUGGUACUUACACAGCUAUAACAUUCUGCAGAUUUUUUGUUGAUUGUGUUAAAAGAUCUUCUCUCGCGUCGACGGGAUUUGAGAUUGAUUCUGAUGAGUGCCACUUUAAAUGCUGAAUUGUUUUCAAGUUAUUUUGGAGGGGCUCCUAUGAUACAUAUUCCAGUAAGUUCUUUUUCUUUUUCAAUUUACAUAGAUUUGGCAUGUCUUUGCCAUGUGUUCUGUCCUUCUAUUACCACACUAUGUUCAUCGAUACUAUCGCUUUGACGCUUUAUUGACUGGGAGUUCUUUGGGAUUUUAUUUCUCUUCUUUAUUGUUAUUUUACUCAUUGAUGCAAUUACUAUACAAUCAUAGGUGCUUUUUCUUGAUUUCGAUAUAUAUUUAUGAAUAAGAUUGUCUUGGUUAUCUUAAAUUAGUUGCUAUUUUCUACAGUUCUCGACAUUGAAAGUUCGAGGGUUUAAUUCUUUCCUGUUUUUUAAUCAUUCACUGAUAUCUUGGCUAAUUAUUUUGAUCCCCAACUUCCUAGUCCUCAGCAUCAGGAAAUUGGUUCAUAGUUCUUUUGAGAAAGCUUUUGUAUAGAGGUUAUACCAUAGUCGUGAAGUAUCUAUUAUUGGAGCCUUUUACAGAGCAAAUAUUUUAUAAUGUCCAUUGGUAUGCAUUAUCAGUAAAUGAAACUACAUUCUCUUUUCAAUGCCAGAUCAUAAAGAAUAGUUCAAAAUAUGUUUCACAUUUGAAUACUUGUGUUCUUGAAAGAGGGGCUGUACUUAGCAUUUGAAGCAAAUGCAAAGUUGGUAGAUUAGCUUACCAGUCUGUGUUUAAGGUUACAUUGCAUGCUUAUUUCAGGGCUUUACAUACCCAGUAAGGGAACAUUUUUUAGAAGAUAUAUUGGAGAAGACGGGAUACAAGUUAACUUCCUCCAACCAACUAGAUGAUUAUGGUCAAGAUAAAUUUUGGAAAACUCAGAGGCAAUUGAUGCCCCGAAAGAGGAAAAACCAGAUCACCACUCUUGUUGAGGUGAUAUUUCAUCACCAUUUAGACCAAAUAAUUCCAUUUUUAUUUUGGUAAAUAGCUGCAGUGAUUUUGCUUUAACUAUGCAGGAUGCUCUUAAAAACUCGAGCUUUGAGAGCUACAGUUCUAGGACACGUGAUUCGUUGGCGAGUUGGAACCCUGAUUGCAUGGGGUUUAAUCUUAUUGAGGCUGUUCUUUGCCACAUAUGUAGGAAAGAGAGGCCAGGUGCUGUCUUAGUUUUUAUGACGGGGUGGGAUGAUAUUAGCUGUGUGAGAGAUCAGCUAAAAGCACAUCCACUGCUUGGAGAUCCUAACAGGGUUCUGCUGCUUACAUGUCAUGGAUCAAUGGCUACUUCCGAGCAGGUAAUUGCUGCAGUUCUGUCUCCAUUGUAAUUUGUUUGCAGUUGUUCUUUCACUGCAGUAAGUGUAUUAAUUACUUAACCAUUGGGGUUAUCCCUUUUCUGCCUUUGGAUACAGUUUCUUGUUAAUGCAACGAGCAAAAUUUGAAUUUUCUUAUAUAUGCUUCGAAACUUUACAACUUAUCUUCAGUGCACAUCUGUUUUAACAUCUGCUAUAUGGUUAAAACUUAAAAGGAAUUUAUUAAAGGGUUUUCAUUGGUGUAGGUAAUUAUUCUCUGAAUAAUAGGUCACACCUUUGCCCAUAUUGUGACCUUGCAAAGCAUGUUUUAAACUUGUGACAUGUCCACGUAAUACACAGUGAUUUAGUUUUACAUAUGUUCAUGAUGAGACCCUCUCAUAUGCCUGUGAUUCUGUCUAAAUUUGAUGUUGCAUAGGGAUAUACAUAUAUACAAGAAAGACACUGUCUUUGUGUUUGUCUCUUAUAUGUGGAUGCUAAUUGAUGCGUUUAUGUUUUUUGUUCUAAUGAUUUAAGGAUGCUUUUUGAUGUUACAGAAACUUAUAUUUGAGAAGCCACCGCCUAAUGUAAGAAAGAUAGUCCUUGCUACAAACAUGGCAGAAGCAAGUAUCACAAUUAAUGAUAUUGUUUUUGUGGUGGACUGUGGGAAAGCAAAGGAGACCACCUAUGAUGCUUUAAACAAUACUCCUUGUUUGCUCCCGUCCUGGAUUUCUAAAGCUUCUGCACGCCAGGUAAAUUAAGUUGUGCCCUUUUAUUAACUCACUCACUGAUUUACAUUACAGCAGUAUUCUUGUUUAGCUUGUUAUGUUUGUAAAUGUUUAGGUGUUAUGUUUGCUUGUCUUGAUUACCUUUGCUCUAUAUACACGACUAUACUUUCAAUAUUAGCUUUCACAAUCUAACUUUAAUGUCAGCCCACUCAAAUCAAUCUCCAUCCUACAUAAAAAGCUCAAAACUAUUAAAGAUACAAGAAGUUGAACUCUUUGGGUACCUGCUAAGUAUACAUUAAAUAAUUAAAAAAAACUGAACGGUACAUAAGGUGUUUUUAUUCCAAAUAGAUGCAACAGCCUCUAAACAUUUACUUGUAGAUCAUCAUGAUUGAUAUUUGCCCUAAGACAUGGGAAACCUGUAUAUUGGAACUAAUAAAGACAUGCCUUACCUUUUUCCUUUGUUACUUGUUCAGAGAAGAGGCAGGGCUGGUCGUGUGCAACCUGGAGAGUGCUAUCACCUCUAUCCAAGAUGUGUAUAUGAUGCCUUUGCAGAUUAUCAGCUUCCAGAGCUUCUUAGAACUCCUCUCAACUCUCUAUGCUUGCAGAUAAAGAGUUUGCAGCUUGGUAGCAUAGGGGAGUUCCUCUCGGCUGCUUUGCAGCCCCCCAAGCCCCUUGCUGUAAAGUAAUCUUGACCAGUUCAAUUGCUCAAAUUUGACAUAUUGGCACUUCUUUUUAUUGAUUAUUGUUAUUCUGCCUAAUAUAUUUUUUGUUUUCCCAUUUUUCUUUUCAUACUUCCGAAGUUGAAUAUGUUGUGUUACAGUAUAUAGUUCUAUUGACCGGACAAUAAUGUCAUAGGUUAAUUGGGCAUAAGUUGUUUGUCUUUUUUGUGAAUUUUCAAAAUUAACAAGUUUUUAAUUCCCACUAAUUGAGCAACUGUAGUUUCUUUGUAUGUAAGGUCCUUGAUUCCAAAUAUUUGCUCUAUUGGAUCUUGAUCUUUUUGUUGUUAUGAGUUCGUGGAUUGUGCAUCGUUGUAGUAGUAAUUAAAAGCGAUAGAUGGAUUACAGCACAAGUCAUAUAGUUGCUUUCUUGCUUGUCCCCAAAUUUAUGUAUUUGUUGUAUCAUUCAUUUAAAUUGCAGUACUUCUAAAAAUUAUGUUGGUGCUUUCAUGAUACUGAGAAUCUGAAAAUAUGUAGGUCCAAAAUGCAGUUGAGUUCCUGAAAAUGAUUGGAGCAUUAGAUGAGAAUGAGAAUCUCACAAAUCUUGGUACGCCUUAUAUUUCAGUUUCAUGACAGCAUGCAGGAGAAGGACCUAAGCUUGAUUACUGCUUUUCUUGUAUACUUUUCUAGUACAAUAAAGUGCUGAAUUUGUAGGCUUGUGGGUUUCUCUUUCUUUGUAGGGCGAUACCUUUCAAUGCUUCCAGUUGAUCCAAAGUUAGGAAAAAUGCUUAUAAUGGGUGCUGUUUUCCGUUGUCUUGAUCCAAUUCUCACUGUGGUUUCUGGAUUGAGCGUCCGGGACCCUUUCCUGUUGCCCCAAGACAAGAAAGAUGUAAGGAACAUUGCUGUUAGUUCCAAAAGGAAAUAGAAAGUUUUAUAUUGAAAAUUUAUUCCUCUUCAAAACUAAGUGGGACUUGCAUCUGUUCAAAAUUUUUCUCUUUGUUGAUGAUAACACUUUGCCUAGUAAGUAACUGUGCAUUAUGAACAAAUUUGUUUGACUCUUUGCAUUUAUUAAUAGUUGGCAGGAACAGCAAAGUCAAGAUUCUCUGCAAAAGACUACAGUGAUCACAUGGCCCUCGUCCGUGCAUAUGAAGGAUGGAAAACUGCAGAAAGGGAAGGCUCUUCUUACGAGUACUGCUGGAGAAAUUUCCUUUCUGCUCAAACUCUCCAAGCAAUCCACUCUCUUAGAAAACAAUUCAAUUUCAUUCUAAAAGAUGCCGGUCUAGUAGAUGCUGAGCCUAGCAUGAGCAAUAGCUUGAGUCAUAACCAAUCAUUAGUUCGUGGUAUUGUAUGCUCUGGGCUCUUUCCUGGGAUAACUUCUGUUGUGGUAAGCUAUUAAAAACAUUUCUUGUAAAUUUUCAUGUGGUUUUUUGUUUAUGCGCAUUGUGCAGCCUAUUUAUUUUGAACUUUUAUCUUUUGUAGCAUAGAGAAAAUUCCAUGUCUUUCAAAACCAUGGAUGAUGGCCAGGUCCUGCUUUAUGCUGUAAGUUCAUAAUGCGAACUCAAAACCUUUCUUUUCCUUAGCAUUCUUUUGUGCAUUAUUGCUCGAAAAGAGAAAAAUACAGCAUAUUGAUGUAUACCUUUGAUAUGUGGCAUCAGAACUCGGUGAAUGCAAAAUACCAGACAAUUCCCUAUCCAUGGUUAGUGUUUGCUGAGAAGGUCAAAGUCAAUACCGUGUUCAUCCGUGAUUCAACUGGUGUAUCUGAUUCAAUACUGAUACUAUUUGGUGGCACCCUUACUAAAGGCAACAUGGUAUAUGGCUUGAUCUUCUUCUUUAUGAAUUUAUUGUUUUGCAUCAGAUAAGCUGACCUUGUAUGCUCUUGAGUUUUAGGCGGGCCAUUUGAAGAUGCUAGGUGGCUACAUUGAUUUCUUUAUGGACCCAAGUUUGGCAGAGUGCUAUCUAAACCUGAAGGAGGAAGUAGAUAAACUUGUUCAAAAGAAGGUAAAAUUCUUGGAAUGUCUUAAUUAUUAUGCUUAUGCAGUACAGAGAGACAUUUCAUCAUUAAGUUUGUGAAUACUUUCAAAAUAAAAAUAAUCAAAAGAGAAUACUGAGAAAAAUUGUAUCCCUUGAAACAAGAGAGAGAGAGAGAGAGAGAGAGAGAGAGAGAGAAGAGGGGAACAGGAAACCCAAGUUGGCAUGAAAACUACUUUGAGAAUAAAUAGAAGAUAAUAAGGAGAUUUUAUACGAACUAGUCUUACAUACCAAAACAGAUUCUUUAAUGACCUUGAUUGAGGCAUAUUACUUGGCUGCACUCAUCCUAAAUUCUGUCUAGCUUAUAGUAGGGUUAAAUUAAUUACUCUGUUUCCAAAUGCAGCUCCAAGACCCCAGCCUCGAUAUCCACAAGGAAGGCAAGUACUUACUGUUUGCUGUGCAAGAGCUGGUCGCGGGUGAUUUAUGUGAAGGAAGGUUUGUGUUUGGCCGGGAGACAAGCAGAGCUAGGGUUAGUAACUCUGAGAAUAAUAACAAGAGCAAUAUCGUGAAAGACGGGACGAACCCUAAGAGCUUGUUGCAGACAUUGUUGAUGAGAGCAGGCCACAGCCCUCCAAAAUACAAGACAAAACACCUCAAGACCAAUGAGUUUAGGGCUAUAGUGGAAUUCAAAGGAAUGCAAUUCGUUGGAAAACCUAAGAGGAACAAGCAGCUUGCGGAGAGGGAUGCUGCCAUUGAGGCAUUGGGAUGGUUGACGCAUACUUCUGAUAGUAGCAAACGGUAUGAGAACGAUGACGACGACUCUCCACUCGACCUCACAGAUAACAUGUUAAAGCUACUUAGUAGGCCAAGGCGGAGGUCUAGGCGACAUUAAGUUUCAGUUGUAGAUUAUAUUUUGGAUGAGGUCCUGGAGACAGAUAUACAGCCAUUCGCCUUUUUGUGGGUAAUCUACUCGAAUAACUUUGUCAGGACGAGGAGGUGAUGAUCGAUCCUAUGUAUCAUCCGCUUCGUUAGGUUCGAGCUGAAACAUGUCCAGUGAUUUAAUGGUUGGCGGAGUAUGUGCUUUGCCCCAAGAUUUUGCCCCCUUUAUGUAAGAUAUACUCCCGCGAGAUGUACGUUGAUGCCAUGUAUUAUUUAUCCAUGGUUACAUUUGUAUAUUGUUUAAUUUUAACAAUCACAUAAAAUAAGAUUAAUAUAGUUGAUUGGACAUGCUGAUUCAUUAUCUUGUGUACUGUAGUUUAUCGAACUAGAAAUGUUCUGUUAUAAAAUUUGUUGUUGGGGAAGGGAUCUGCACUAUAAAAGGAUCUAAAAUAUAAAACAAAUUCAGAAAAGCAAAGGAAAUCUCUGGUGAAGGGAGACUGCAAUCUGGGAUUUGGUUUCAAAGGAAACCCCCUUAAAAACAGGGAAACAAGUUAUCAUUGACUGUACUCUUUCUAAAAUUUAUUUCAUUUAGUGUUUUUUUUUUUUGAGAAUAGAUUUCAUUUAGUUUUUUCAGUUCACAAUUUUUAUUUUAGUUUUCUCUGACGUUCGUGGGUAACAGUAUUGUAAGUAGAUUGGAUGCUUUAAGUGAAAAAUAUGCUAAACUGCAUUAAGAAAGACUUGUUAUAAAAUAUAUCAUGAUUUGCAUUAUAUCAUUCUCUACAAAAGAAAAUUUUCCCUUCGUCACAUUUACUAAUUAAUUUAAAUUUAAAUAUAAAUUUUAUAAAAAAUAAAAUCUAAAUUUAUAUUUAAAUUUAAAUAAUUAUUGGUGGCAUGUUAAUUAUAAUUAUUUACUUUUUAUGUCGUAAAACUUAAAAGCCAAAAGUAAAUCUUUCGUUUCGGAAAGAAAGUAAAAAGAGAAUUCUAGUCUAAUUUACCUGACCAAAUUACAUUUUCAAUUAUAGAAUAAUAUCUUGGCGGAGAGAAGGUCGGUUCCAAUUUUCUCUUCGCGUCAAAUAUACGCUCUCCCCGGAUCGCUCUCUGCUGCGUCAAAUAAAUAAACACAUCGUUCCCUCUCUCUCUCUCUCUCUCUCUCUCUCUCAUUCACAUCUACUCUUCCUCUGCGCUCUCGCGAUCUCUCCUCUGUCCUCUUCCUCGUCUCCCUCUCUGCGCCAUGGCCGAUAGCGGUAGCAGCUCCGCCGCGACGACGACGGCGGAGGAGAGGAGGUCGUGGGCCGAUGAGGCGGCCGACGAAGAGGCGGCGGCGGCGGCGGCGGAGGCGGCGGCGGCCGCUACGUCGUCGGAGGCGGACGCCUCGGCGUUGAACCAGAUCGAGUCGCUCACUAUCUCCGAUGAGGACCCCAGCAGCCGCCUCGACGAUCCCGACGACUCUCAGAUCAAAGCCGUAAGAUACAACCCCAUCCCUUCCUUUUCCUCUUUUUUUUUUUUUAAAAAAAAACUUUAUCUUCUUUAAGGUUUUUGCUCGAUGAGCGUCCGCUCCUUGAAGCUGUGACCCUAGUCCAAUUGCUUCUAUUAUGUGGAUCUUUGAUGCGUCCAUCAAGCUUUCAGAUAGUAGUAGUGUUGCUUUGAGUACUUGAUCCUCUAUUUCUUCUUAUUUUAAGUGAGACGAAGUCUCUUUAUCCUAAUUGUUUCGAAUUGAGCGCUUGACUUGGAUUUUAGUGAUGUUGUCGGAAUUGGCUCACGAAACAUGUCCUUGUUGUUAUCAAUCACUAGAUGUGCUCCUUUAAUUAUAAACGGUGGCAAAUUUCUAAAUUUAAGAUUUUAAUGAAAAAAUUAUAGUAAAGAAAAGAAAAAAAAAAAAAGUAAAGGGGAAAAGGUUCGUAUCUUCACGAGAACAUGAUUACCAGAGCAAGAGGGAUGUUCAGUGCUUCAACUUGAAAGCCCGUCGCUGAAAUAUAAAAAUACGUUUUUGAGUUCCUGCAAAUUUGUAAGUGCUGGCUCUCGCUUAAGGACUCUAAUGGCAAUUUUGAAUCGCAGCACCCUCAUAGUAAUAUCGCAUUAUCAGCGAAUGCAAGGAUCUCCCUAUGGACGUGAUUAUGUUUUUUAAAAAAUGGAAGCUAGAUUUUAGUACUUAAAUCUUCACUGUGUUCAUAACGAGUUACUGCUCCAUUAGUUUGUACCGAGUCUUUCUCCACGAGUUUGCAACUUUAGUCAGCUGCUUCAUUUUUUUUCUUUAUUCUGCCGUCAUAGGUUACGUCUGGAAAUGCGGUAUACACGUCUGCUGUCAGAUUUGAAGACCUCAAUCUCUCUGAGGAACUUUUGAAAGGCCUUUAUGUCGAAAUGGGUUUCAGUAAGCCCAGUAAGAUACAGGCCGUGACCCUUCCUAUGAUUCUCACACCGCCAUACAAAGACUUGGUUGCUCAAGCCCAUAAUGGCUCGGGAAAGACGACAUGCUUUGUGCUUGGAAUGCUCAGUAGGGUCGAUCCGAAAAAGAAAAUCCCUCAGGCCAUUUGCCUCUGUCCCACAAGAGAGCUUGCCCAGCAGGUCUGUUGCUUUUGUUUCUUCGGUUUGCAUGUUUUAGACUACUUGUGUCAUUCUCUAACCGUUAGCUGAAUAAUGCAGAACCAAUCAGUCCUUGAAAGAAUGGGAAAGUUUACGGGAAUAACUUCUAAGUGCGCUAUACCAUCGGAUUCGCCAGAUGCCAUUCCUGUUGCAAAACAACCACCGAUAACUGAUCAAGUAGUGAUCGGCACUCCAGGGACAAUCAAGAAGUGGAUGGCAUUAAGGAAAUUGUCCACACGGGACAUUCGGAUACUUGUUUUUGACGAGGCUGAUCACAUGCUUGCAGAGGUUGUUUUCAUAUUAUUGAAGUCAUUCGUACCCUUUUUUCAUGCUCUCAUUCAAGGGGUUGUGUUUAUUACAUUCUAAUAGAUAAAGCGAUACUGCAAAGAAUUCAUUUUCAUUUCUCUGUUCUCUGUCUCAUGAGCAGGACGUACAGCUUAAUUAAGUUCAUAAGGAAAUAGUUUUUUGGUGUCCUAGAACUUACAACUAAAGAAAAUAAAAUAGUGUUUAGUAACACCUUUUCUGUGAUCCCUUGGGUCAUUUUAAGAGGUAGCCAGGUGAUAUCUUUGUUACACAAUGAACUUUUUAUGCAUAACAGUCAAAUUGGCUGGUCGAUAUGCUUACCAUUGUCAUUUGAAGAAUCAUGAUGUAAGCAGUUUGUGGUUGUGCAAGUUUCUUUUUCUUUUUUUCCAUGUUGCCCUUAAAUAUCUUCUUACACUACGGUUUUACCCUUGUCUUGAUAAUUCUUUCCUUCCUAAGCUAUGGAAUGACUACUUAAAUACUCUUUUUAACAAGCAUUUUUUUUAUCAAGCAUUGUUAUGCAUAUUAUUUUUGUUGCAAGCUCACUACCCUUAAGAGAAAUAUAUACUUGUGUGUAUAAUGGGCAUGCAUAUGUAUGCAUACAAAUUUCUUAUUAGCAAUUUGAUUUUGAUCUUGUUGGUUUUUGCUCAAGCUUUCAAGUAUCAUAUUCUUAUGUUUUCUAUUUUGUUUUUGCAAACUAUUGCUUUGUUGUAGGAUGGUUUUAAGGAUGAUUCUGAAAGAAUAAUGAAGGACAUUCAGAGAAACUGCGGGGGCUGUCAGGUGUGUGUUAAGUCAUUCUAGGCUUUUUUUAAUGAAUGGAUAAUAAGAAUUAAAAAAAAAAAUGAAGGGAUAAUAGGAUCUUACUUUUAAUGUAUGUAGUCCGCAGCUUUCUUACGACUACAAUUUUUUUAAAAAAAUAUGAGAACAUAUAGUACUGCUGUGCUAAAGUUGUAUUACAUGACACUGAACAUUGGCUACAUCUAUAUGAUUGCAGAAUUUUAUUAGAACUAGUCCAGAGACAAAAGCUCUUGCUAAUUCUAGGGUCAUCAAAUUUUUAUGCAAUUUGUCAUUUUAAAAGUUCUUUUAUGUUUUGAAUGCAAGACCAUUUUAGUUUAUCUUGGUUCGAAGAGGUGUGAACAUUUAUCUGCAUAAGAGAGGACCAGUACAGCACAGAUUGAACAUUUCCCUAGUCAAUGAGAGACUCUUGGUAAUUAAUAUAGACAAUUGAGUGGCGUAGUAACUUGCAAGUGGUGAGAAGGCUCCAAUAUAGCAUAGAAUCAGUAGAUGUACUCAUUCUUAUUAAAGGUACAAAUGGACUAUGAUCUAUAAACUCAUUAUCUUUUUGAUAUUGAGCAGUAGUUCAAGUGUUAAUAUGCUACAAAGAGGAGCCCUUGUUUUGAGAUGUUCUCUCUGUCUUGUUUCCACUGUAUUCCUUAUUGAGUGGUAAAUUACUAUGCCCGGCAAAUUUUUGUGUGUUAGGACAUCUCUUUCAGAAUGUCUUUUCACUUGGAUGCUUGAUCACAUUAGUCUCAUGUCCUUUGUACUCAAGGAAAUAUAAGCUUUUUUAUUAUCUUUUUUCUUUUCUUUCAACAUUUUAGGUACUUCUGUUUUCCGCGACAUUUAAUGAGACUGUCAAGGAGUUUGUUUCAAAAGUCGUCAAGGAUGGAAAUCAUAUAUAUGUGAAUAAAGAGGAACUCACAUUAGAAAAAGUAAAGCAAUAUAAGGUCCAAUGCCCUGAUGAACUUGCCAAAGUAGAAGUUAUCAAGGACAAGAUAUUUGAAUUUGGGCAAAAGAUAGGGCAGACUAUCAUAUUUGUCCGUACGAGGGAAAGUACGCGGACGUUGCACAAUUCACUGGUUAAGGAGGGCUAUGAGUGCACUUCAAUCCAAGGUGCUCUCAAGCAAGAAGACAGGGAUAGGAUAAUAAGGGAAUUCAAGGAGGGAUAUACUAAGGUUCUCAUCACUACAGAUCUCCUCGCUCGAGGUUUUGAUCAAGCACAGGUAAGGAAUUUGUAGUUAAGCAGUUAGGGUUUCUUUGUUUCUCUAGUAAUGAAUUUCUGGUCCUAACACAUUUUUGUUUUGAAAAGGUUAACUUGGUCAUCAACUAUGAUCUUCCUAUCAAGUAUGGUACUCGGGAGCCUGAUUAUGAGGUCUAUCUUCAUAGAAUAGGCAGAGCUGGACGCUUUGGGCGCAAGGGUAAUGUUGUUUUUCUACCUCUUUUUUUCUGUGAACUACAUUGUGGAUUAACAAUAAUGAUAAUGUGAUACUUCAAUUACUUGGCAUAAUUCUAUUAGCCUUGACGAGGACAAUCUUGCUGAAUGAUCAUAUAUCACCCGCUCAUAGAAAGCUUCUACUUUCCUGUGACUUCUGCAUUAUUUCCAUGUUUGCUAAUGUUCAUUCUGCAUAGUAAUCAUUUUGAGUACUUCAGUUAUUAUCUCAUUCUAUCAAUCGUAGCAAUGUAUUUUGCUCCAUUUUUCUGUUUGUCCUUGUCGAUCAAUUUGGUGAAUUUUUACACCCAUCAUAUUUGGUAAAGCUCAGUGCCCCUAGCAGUGAAACUUUCUUAAUCAAAAAAACCCAAACAAGGUUGUAAGGAUUUUUCAGAGCAUUGACUGGAUAUAGCUAGAUCAAUAUUUGCCAUAAUAUUUUUGCUAAAAGUGAACUUCUUAAUGGUCUUUAUAUAUUGCUGUUUCUCGUUAUUAUAGUUUGCUACUCUUAAGCAUCUCCGUAUAUUAUGUUACAUUUAUUAUGAAAAUGAACUUGUAAAUUCAAAACCUGGUUUAGUAAAUCUGGUCAAUAUUCAUUAUUUUUUGCAUCCUACACUGUUUGUGCACACCAAGUACAGAUCUUGUAAUACUAUAGUGUAGGUGCAUAUGCUGUGAAAAUAUGCAUUUUUGUUGAAAUGGUGUUUUUCCUUGUGUUGGCAAUAGGAGCCGUGUUCAACUUGUUGUGUAGCGACAGGGAUCGAAGAAUUAUGGAGGAGAUCGAGCGUUAUUUUCAGCAUCAAAUUCCUGAGGCAAGUUAGAGUACCGUAUGCUGUUUUUCUCACGUACUUUCUCAGUGGAUUGACUUGGUUUGUUUGGAUGAUAUGCCUUCAGAUUCCAAACUGGAGAAGCGAAGAGGACUUCGAAAAAGCACUCAAGGAUGCAGGCCUGUUAUAGGCUGAGGUUCUUGGGUUUGUUGCGGCGCACAGGCAACUCUCUGCGACUGUCUACACCGGUUGUCAUGUUGAUGUUAAUUUAUACAAACUUUUUUUUAGUUUUAUUUAAGAUCAUUUUGGUAGAAGAUUUACCCGAACAUUGUUGAUGAAUCAUGUCUAGCAAGAGAGUUUUUGGGCUUCUUUUUUCUGUGUAUUACUUAUUGGUAGUGUUUUUGAAAGUAGUAACUGUUGGAGUUGUUUCGGCUUGCUUUGUGGAGUGAGAACCAAAAAAGGGUAGUAAUUUAUUUUUUCUGCUGGAGAAAAAUAUUAGACUAGCACCCAGUUUGUGUAGUUGAGAAGUAUGUGACUUUGGCGUUCCAUGAUACCUAACCUGCUUCACUUAAUGAAAAGCAUUAGAGCAGAUUGUUCUAGUGCAUGAGAGCAUCGAAGCAGAUUGUUCCGGUACAUAUGGUGAGGGAAAGGGUGUACCUAGAUUACCAUCAGGUAAGUCUUUAUUUUUUUUAUUAUAGAUAUUCAAAAUAUUAUUAUUCAAUCCAACUUAGGCUAGUUAUUAAAGGUGUUAGUUCAAUAUUGGAAUCGCUGUAUUUUUUAAGUGGUAAAAAUAUUAUAUUAUUGUGGAUCAGGUUUUCUCAAUUUUAUGAUUUUCAUUUGCUGUCCGUUAAUAAUAAUGUAUUGGUUUUUAAUAACCUUUCAAUCUAAGUGGCUUAAUAUGUUAGUAAUAAAUUGGUCAUUCUAAAUAUGAAAUAUGUAGCAUUCUUGAAAUAUUAUAAAUUUGGUUCAAAUAUUACAAAUUUUGAACCAAAUGGCCCUCUGGUUGAUUUACCAACGGCAUUCGGAAGUGAGAUAGGUUAAAGAGAUAACAGACCAAUUGCACGUCGGGCAGCAUUAAGAGAUAGUGUUUUUUUUUUUAGAGAGAUAGAUAGCACGCUAUCCAUUUCGUUUAUUUCAUUUAGAAAUAAACUUAGUUGGAAAUGUGAAUCAACUAGAAUUCGAACUUGGGUCUCUGGUACCAACCACCAAACCCUUUGCCACUUGUUCUAGAGACGGUCAGUCAUCUAGAAAUAGUGUUAACACGAUCUAGAUAGUGNUAUUGACAUCCCUACUCCUUAUUCCACUUUUCAAUAUAAAAAAAAAAUACGUAAGAAACACGGUGAACCAUUCACCGUGUUUAGACACGGUGAAUGAUUCACCGUGUUCAACUUAAUAACCUGGCCCCAGCCCUGCCCGCGUGGCGCUGACGUGGCGCCUGCGUGGCAAAGACAGGGCCAUUUUUGCAAUUUUAAUUUUGAUAGGGCUAUUUUUUAAAUAAAAAUUACUCAGGGGGCUAUUUGCAAAAAAAACCCGAGAUAGGUUAAAGAGAUAACAGACCGACCAACUGCAGGUCGGGCAGCAUCUAGAGAUAGUGUUUACACGACGAAAAGAGGUACAACGCUAUUUCCUCAUCACCAGCCCCAAUGAGGCAGUGCUGGAUCACGUCAAUGUUGCAGUAUUUUUACACCAACCCCCCCAAAAAAAAGAAAAGUUAAGAAAUCAUCCUGAUGUUAGUGUCCUGAAGACGGGAGUCAAAAAUUCGUUGCCUUGAAGGUUAACAGCUCCCACAGCACAAUUCAGUUCUCACUUUUGCAGUUUCUCGUCCAAUCAAUCAAUCAAUCUGCCAAUAUACAGCAUCAUCGCAUCCACGUCCGUUCCUUUCUAGCUCUGGCACAGAGUAGCAAUGUGGGGGACGAUCAGCAAAGCCCUCUGGCAUCCAUAUAUUCAUCAGUAAAUCUUUUAACACAAGAAACUCUGGUAGCGUAAGAGAGACUAGAAAGAUAGCUGACUCAGUCACCGCUGCCUGAGAGAUCAGCAGCUAAGUCUACCAAUCGCUUCCAUUAGGGCUUUCUCAUGAUCCUAUUCCAAAGAAGAUAAUGGAUUGUAUCAUUCAUAUUUACCUAGUCAAAUCUUGAUUGACUUCAGCACACUACAAUUCGAAUUUAACAUGCACGCCAUGAUGAAAAGUUGAAAUGGGAUCACUGGACUCACUCUGAGGAUUGAUUUUGCCCUCUCACAUUAGCUCGGUCUGGGUUCUCUCGACAGAAUUUCUCGAUCUGUAAAAAGUAAAGGCGCAUGUUCUGUAAUGCAAAUGCUAGGAAAAAAAAUAGUCUUGCAUCAAGAAUCUGCAAAGCUAAUAGCAUACAAGUUCUGUGAUGGGAAUAAUGACUCCAAUAAAAACAGCAAGGAACAUUCUUUUGAGAAAGCAUCACACACCUCAUUGAUAAGUUCAUCAGUUGCACGGAUCUCGAUUACAUCUGGUCUAGGUUUCAAGCUAUCAGUCCCGGAAGGAACAGAACACUUCUUAGAUGUCCGUACAACCAGCAAACCUCCAGGUUUUGCCAUGCUUCGUGGCUGUCUAUCUUGAGUUACCUUUCUUCUGUUCAGUUGAGGGGAGAAUGCAUGGCCGCCGCAGUGAUCAUCUAUGAGAUUUGUCUGUAAUAAAAAACUUACAAUAAUUAAAUUCUUCAGAUAAACUUAAGCUAUCAGGUAAAAAAGUUAAAGUAGCUUCAAAUGUAUCAAUAAUAAUAAUAAUAAUAAUAAUAAUAAUAAUAAUAAACGAAACUGAAUAUCAUAGGAUGAUAAUAACACAUGGCUGCUCUAUCUUGAGGAAGGACACUGCAGCCUGCAGGUACAUUUACAUCAUCAGCAAGAUCCAUUUAGAAAUGAAACGGUCCAAAAAAAGAAAGAUAUAUGCUCGUAGCCACCCUUAUUGUAAUGCAAACAAUGCAAGUCACACGGCGAUGCAAGUAGAAUUGAUAAUAUACAACUUAAAUCAAUUCAAAGAGACAAUUUAAUUAAUAUAUGAAGUACUGAACAAUUUCCUGCUUAUUGAUGAUAUACUAAAUUAUCAAUUUCAAACCUUAAUUGCGACAAGUUACCAUGCCGGUUUAACUGUUUUCUUGUACAAUCUAACUCUGUUGAUACGAUCCUUUUCUUCAACAAUUAAGACACAAUACCUAAUGAAUUAUCCGGUAAGGUACAAAACAGAUGAAAGCCAGCAGUGAGAAAAGAGAAAAAGAAAAAUCCUCACCCUCUUUAAAUCACAAUUACUUACUGCCAAGGACGAAGGAACAGCUGCAGGCAAAGGUUGAACACUACAUGGGUACAAUGGGAGCAACGAGGCAGCUGCAUACCCGGAUUUCAACCUUUCACAAGUUGUCAUCUGAGUGUCAGAGUCCAUCUGCCGUGUCCUGCUCAAAAUUAACAAAUGCCACGGAUCAGCCUAAUACACACUGUAACUAAGAAAUCAACUAAUUUAGUUGAGACAAAAUUAUGAACCGUAUAGAGUUGACCAAUUCAUCAGAACUAAUUUUUCUGAGAAUUUCCUUGUGCUCAGCACUAGAAAUUCUGAGUCCCUUCCUUAUAUCUGAUAUAAGUUCUGCCUUCUCCUAUAAGAGACGUGAGAGUUGGACAAAUGCGACAGUAAACAUACAGAAAUAACCAAAAGAAAAGUUGCAGCAAGUACCCAUGAAAGAACAUCUGAUUGAGCAUUGAAUGCUCUUAAAACAGCACUAUACGCUUUUGUCUCCAAGCAGUGAACUUGAAGUUCUAUGUCUAUUUCAUCUUCUCCGCGAGAUAAUGGAGCUGAGGCCAUCACCAUGGCUCCGGAAUUAUGCGCACUCCUCGAAGCCCGGAGUGUGCCAGGAUCUGGCAAGUCAUCAUCAGUUUCUGUUAAGCAAAUACAAGGAAAAGUUAUGUUACUGCUAGCAUAACAGCAAGUUUAGCUUCAAUAGAUUGUUUGAAUUUUGAAGAGUUUAUUUACUCUUCUUCCAACAACAAGUUCCAAUCCAUAGUAUCAGCCCUACGUAUGAAAAUUAGAAUGCUCCGUGAUUCCACACUACACUGUCUACGAUUUCGACAGUCUCUAACCAAAUAAAGUCCUAAACCCUAAUCUCAGAUAUCUUUAUGCACUGUACAAAUCAAAUUACAAAGAACAAAAAAAAAAAAAAAACACUUCAAACCCUGAUGAAGGUUCAUCAAACAAUCCCUUCCCUCCGCAAGAGAAUCGCAAGGCUCCAAACAACAAAGCAAUCGACCAAACACAGUAACAAUUAAUGAACAAAAGCACGAUAUAUAGCGAUCGAAAAAAGGAUGCGGAAAAGACGACAAAGCUAUGGAACAACAACAUACUACCGCCGCUAUCGCUCUUCGAAGAUCCCAACUUUAUGCUCGAGAAAAUCCCAGAGAAGGAGAGAGCAGCAGAUUCUAAAACUCUUAACGGGAGAAAAGCAGAGUAGUGGAGAGAGAGAGAGAGAGAGAGAGAGAGAGAGAGAGCGCGCGCGCGCGCGCAUUAAGAGGGAGAAGAGUAUAUAUAGAUCAAUAAUGACGCUGCUUGGAAAACAAGUUCGAAUAGAAAUCAAAUUUGGUUUACAGUUCGGAUGAAAAUUCAACUAAUUAUUGAUUUAUAGGAGUUCGAUUGAGCGCGCGCUUGCGCUUGGUUCGGGGUUCUAUCGUUCUCGUUCUAUUUUUGUUGAAAAAAAACAAUAGAAGACACGUGUUAACUUAAUCAAUGGAUGUUUUUUUUUUUUCUUUCUGGAGAAUAUAAGCCUUUGUACAUUUUGAUUGCAUGUUUGCUGUAGAUUGUUUUUGACAUUCUCCUCAGUAAGUAGAGUUGGCUUGCCUGUUGUUUUACUGAAUAUAUAUGAAGCUUUAAAGUGCAGCUAUUCUGAAUAGCUAGUUAUGAACGCUUUUUUUCUUUUCCUUUGUAUCUUUGUAUUUUGAAUAACUGCACCACCUGUUAUUUUUGAAAUUUUCUUUCCAAAAUUUGUUUUGCUCUUCAUGUGAUGUGAGUUUGCACCAAUCUUAUGUAGUGUGUACAACUGCAAAUAGCUGAAUAUGUACCCAACUAGAACCCACAAGAGGACAAAUUAAUGAAGAUAACAACCUCCGGCUUUAAUUUGGACCAAACAAUUCCAAUGAAGCAUGCAACAGAUAAGGCAACACUGCCUCAAUCCACCAAAAUAUCCUUCAGUACCCAGGAGGAGGAAAGAAAAGAAAAAAAAAAAGAAGAAGCAUAGUUACGGGUCUAGACCAUGGCAAGCACUUGUACAUUAAAGCCGCUUUCUAAUUCUAUUCAUCUUCCUCGCGCAAACACAUUAAAGCACCUUGAUGUCACCCGUCCUCAGCUUUCCUUCAAUCGUCCGCCUCGCAGGCAGAGAAGGCGCUUCUCAUUGCAAGCUUUGGCUCCUUCUGCAGCUGUAACUGUACCGAUCAAUAUGGACUACUUGGUGAGAGAAUUCAGCGGCCACGGAGUUAGUUUCGAGAGCAUCGGAGAGAGCUGCGUCGUCGAGAUGGCGUUGGACAACGGAAGCCUGGCCAAGUUGAUGCUGCCGAGCGGCCUGAUCACAUCAUACAAGCCGUUCAUGUGGCAUGGCACGACGCUCGAGGUGCUGCAUACCACGGUCUCCGAAGGAGAGGAUGGUGAAGCCGUUAUUCAAGGAGGGGUGUCCAUGGAUUUCAAGUGUAUAAAUGAUGGCGGCAUGCCAUGGUCUCCUAGUAAUUGGACUCUUCGCAAUGUUAGUGGGAGUUCUGAUAAGUCAAUUCAGGUAAUACGACUACUUUCAUCAGUUCAAAAGUUUAAUCAUCAACAAGUGACUCACUAUAGAGUAUAGACCAAACGGGAAAAAAAUCAAAUUAAGAGCAAAUGUCUCAGGUUACAAUUAAUUCUGUGAUUCAAUGGACGCUUUACAUCUUUACAGUAUAAAUAGAAAGCACAAUUCUUUUCUAGUUGUUUCUUGUACAUUUUAAGUUCUAAAAGAAAAAAGGAAAAAACAACACUUGUAUACUGUAAGCUGUUACCAAGCUUGCUCGCUCCGAGCCUUUAAACACCAAUUUGGGUUCAACAUGCUUCCUAGAAUCAUGUACCUUAGCAUAAUCAGUCGUCGCAUUCAAUUGCAGAUCGAACUUGGCUCUGCUGCUCCAGAGAAUAUGGCCGAAUUCAAAUGCGUUGUGACACUGCGGCACAACCUCCUUGCCUCAGAAUUCACUGUUAUAAACCGUAGAUCAUCAUCUCUCCAACUUUUGGGUUGUGUUAUGAACCAUCUCACUGUGAGCACACCCGAUGCAACGUAUGCGGUCGGACUGCAAGGCUCAAACUACCACGGUAGAAGACCAAUUAACACAGAAUUCAGUAUUAUUCCGCCGGAUUCCGAUAAGAAGAUAUCCUCUACAAGUGGCGGUGAGUCGUGGGCUCAGAAAGCUGUUCGAGGAUUGUUUUCUAGUUGGGAAACGAGGGAUGGAAUGAAGGAUGAAGCAGUAGAAGAAGAUUCCAUGAUAGAAGAAUCAGAGGGGGAGGAAGCUGACGAUUACGCGCACAUGACGGAGGAAAUGUGUCGGAUAUAUAUGAGCGCACCGAGGGAAUUCACAGUCAUUGACAGGGUAAUGACCUCUCUAAAGCUGUCGGCGGAGAGUUAAGGAGCAUCAUUGUGGUGCAGGGGAGGAAGAUAUGUGGAAGUAUACACCUAGCAAGUAGUCUUAUGAAAGCCUAAGCCUAAUGAUGUCUUUUUUUUUGGUUGUGAUGCAGGGAAGAAGAAACUCGGUUGCAGUAGGAAGAAGCGGGUUCGACGAUAUUUAUGUUCUUAGUCCAGGAUCAAAGCAUGAUUGGUAUGGAAAAUAUGCAUAUAUCUGCAUAGGCCCUACAAUGCAAACCCCUGUGUCCCUGGCUCCUGGAGGUACAUGGAAAGGAGCUCAAUACUUGCACAAUCCAAAUCUUUAAAUCAUACUGCAGAGACCGACUAAUCAUAUGGUACACUUUGCCAGUACGGUUUCCAAAGGAAGGGAAGGAAAAGAUAAAAAAAAAAUAAACACACUCCGUUGCAAACAUCAUGGGUAUUUUCUUUCGUUAAUAAAAUGGAGCUCCUAGAUGGUCUUUACAUUUUUCCUUAGAUAUCUAAAAGCAACAAGUCGCUAUAUUGUUUACUCUUUAAGACAGUAUUUGGAGGAAGUGAAGUGAACAGUUGUCAGUUGUGAGACGUCUCAAAUGAGCAGCCACACACAAAAGCCUGCUUGACAAAAAGGCAUUUGACACACUACCAACAGAGAUAGUUUCUGUUCAAUUACACGUCAAGAGCUUCUCUUUGUAAAACGAGACAAUCUUCGCUGCAUCUUGCAAAACUGAUGCUAGAUCCCAAUAGCUAUUUACAGCCUUCAGAGAAGAAAAGAAACAAAACAAAACAAAAAAAAGAAAAAGCUAAAGAUGCAAAUAGCCACCAAAGAUCGUAAUCGUUACACUACCAAGUGUUAUUACGGCACCCGAAUAUGAGAAUUUUUUACAAAGAGAGAAUCCCUCUUCACUAAACUAGUUACAUGAACCAGCUUUAAGAACCAGAAUUACGCAGUAAGCAACCCAUUGUGACUAAAAUAGGGUUAGCUAUGGGAAGAGCCCGACGGCUCAUUGCUGGCUCCUGCAGGUUGGGCAAAACCAUUUCCCUUUAAAUCUUGUCUCUGGUGUGAGGCCAACACAUGAAUAAUGGAACCAUUCACCUCCUUCACACUGCCGAGCAGAAAGGAAUCAGCAAGAAAAUAUAAUAGCUCUACUUUUAAAAAUAUUAACAUAUAUAUAAAGGGAAUGAAGUAAACAGGAAAAAAAAAAAGAAAAGGAAGUCAAUAUCAAAAUUGAUCGACUCCUACGGUUAUGCGCAUUCAAGCAUCCAGGCAUUACUAAGUUUGCUCUUGCAAAAUUAGUAAAUAACCAAAAUUAGCAUAUAACCCCUACUGGAAAUGAACCAGUACAAAGGUAGGUGAAAUAAGGGGAAACAAGAGAGCAAAAUCAGAUUUAUAAUCAACACGUAUUAGAAUAUUCUUUUCUGGAAAGAGAUUCUGUUAAAUUCACUUGUUUUCGGUGCACUAUGAAACAUGCAAAACAUCCAGCAAAGACAAAAUUCCGAACCCAAGAAGCAUGCCACAAGUCCCAAAUAUCAAUUAUUGAAACAAAAGAUCACGAGGAACUGCCUAUUUUGAGCAACAAUAAGAAACUUACAUUCUCAUUGUCACAGGCAAUCAUGUCGCCAUAAGACACCUGAAACCAACAGGAAUCUAUUGAGGAUUUCAUUUCCAGUUGAGGAUACUAAAACAGUUUUAAGUGAAGAUUGAGACCUGGUGACAGAUGCAAUAUGUCGGUUCAUUCGGAUCAAUGGAUUGGUCCACAUCAACAGAUGCAGGAGUACUCUUCUUGUUGCUGCCUGGGGGAGGCAUUAGGUCAAGAUCCAUACCCCGCUCCACCCCCCAUUCCCUUUCUUUUAACCUCUUCGACUGAGGUGUAAUAUAGCCUCCCUUUCUCUUUUCAUCCCUGGUUACCACAGGAAGUGGAGGGAGGAUUGCUGGUUCAUCUGGGGGGAUUUUCCCUUCUGUUAUAAUAACGACAAAACAUGAAGUAGUUGUUACAAGUUUAUAACCUUUAAACCAAUAUUACUGGUGUCUCCAAAGGAGAAAGAGAAGGGAUGACUAGAGGGAUAGAUCGUAAAAAUACCCAAGUUGUUCAAUAAGGUCUCUAGAAAUAAUUUUUGACGUCAGAAGCAUCAAAACCAUUAAAAACAGUAAAAUAAAUGAUAAGAAAAAGAAACAGUUAAAAAAGAAAGUCAGAGUUCUUUCAAAUCAACACAAGUACCAAGUCCAAAAUGAAAUUUUUUUCUGAAAGGAAAAAAGACCACCGACGACCGUGCUGGAGUUUAAUCAACUACCCUUUACAAGUAUUAGGCAUGAGAUAAAACAAUAAAAUAAUCUUAAUUAGAUUGGCCAAAGAUGCUUCCCAUACCUUGCUUUAAAUCUUCAGCAAAUUGGGCUAAAUCUUCAUCAAGCCGUUUAAUAUGGCUCUCUAUCUGCAUGAAUUCCCAAGCACCAGCUCCGUUAGAAAGUGCAAAGGUUGAAGAAUAGCUCAGUAGUAUCAGAAGACACUAAAGAAGACCAUUACAUUCCAAGAUAAGGAGUUUUGGACUUGUCAUAUGAGAAAGGUUUAUAUUUUGAAACCUCACAUCAAUCAGUUUAUUAACAAAACAAAUCGAAAUUGUUGAACGAAAAUGCAACUAAUUUGGCUAGAUAACAUGUCUCAUCAAGAGCACAGAAGAAGAAGAAGAAGAAGAAAUUGUAAACCGUUCAUUUCCUUACUUAUAGGUUCAGAUAUUUCUUUUAAUCAUUCCAGCAUUAUAAAAGGAACUUACCAGAUUAUAAGCUUGCUGUGCUAGUAACACUUUCUCGGUGCAAAGGCUUAGUGCAUUUUCUUGGCUAGUUUCAAUCUCCUUUUUUAUUUUCUCGAAUGCAGUUUCGUCAUUUUCAUGGUUUAAUUUUUCUGAGCCAUAAGACAACAUUCCCAAGCAGUGCUUCGUCUGCUCUUUUGUCUGACUAAUUGUGCCUGUAUGAAAAAGUAAACAUAUACAAGAUAUAAAUAAGAAUGUAGUAAGUACUUGAACUUUGAAUUCUACAAGCAAAAGUUGUAGCCUCUUACUAUCGUUAAAAGCAUUUCAGCUAUACUGAAAAUAAAUACAAGUUUUAAAGAGUUAUGUGAGACAACUCAAUCUCAAAGUGAUUUUCAUGUUCGAUUGCACUCUAAUAACCUUCAAAUCUUAGAAAAGCAAUAAAGCAUCUUUAUUUUUUUUUUGUUCUCACGCAAACGAUAAGAAUUAAGGUAAAUUCUAAUGCUAUGACCAGUAACUCUAUGGCAUUGCAGAAUCUCACAAACCAAGACUCAUCAAUUUUAGCGCAUGAAGAAUUAAGUGUCGUCAAUUUUAAGCUCGACAUAUAAUCCAGAAAAAAAAAAAAAAAAAACAGAAAUAAAACAGAAUAAGAAGUUACAGCACAGCUGCAUAUGUAAUCGAAAAAAUUCAGAAAUAAUAUUACACAAAUUGCCGAUUAAUUUGAACAGUAAUGUUAAGAAUUAUACCUUGAGCUCGUUCGUCGAGUUCUCUCAUGGUGGAGAGAAGCCUCUGAAGCUCCCCCGCCAACGUGCUCGAAUCUUCGAUUCACAACCCAAAUUUAUAAGAAAGAAUAUUAAAAAAAAAAAAAAAAACUGGAGAGAAUUAGGGAUCAAACAGGAGAGGGAGAUGAUUCUUACACUCCAAAUAAUCAUCUACGAAUACACCGGUUCUAGCGAUCGCCAUGUCCGCGUCGUCGAGCUUCUUCUAGGGUUUCUGAUGGGCUAUCGCGGUUUCGAACGAGAGAGAGACAGAGCGCUUCGACUCCCAAAAGGGCAAUUCGGUAAAAUCACGAGUAGCGGCGCGACAGGUUGCGAAUUUGCGAUCUGUGCUCACCAAAUGGCCUCCUAUAUAUGGGCCGAAAGUUUCAGUUCGGCCCAUGAUGUGAAAACCAACAUUAAAAAAAAUAAUAAUAAUAAAAUAAAAGUUAUGGGUAUUUUAUGCUUUAUUAAGAUUCACUGCUAGCAAAAUCUAACGACAAAGAAGGAUGCAUCUAAUAGACAAAUAAUCGACAGCAAAUUGACUAAAAUUCUUUUGUGUUUUAGUAAAACUAACUAAUUACAGGACCCUCGGCCUCAAAUACUAUAUUGAUAUUAUUGGCUAUUAAUUAUUAGGCUAAAAUAGAUCUAACUUUCUGCCCCGUGACAAUAUGUCCAAGAUAUUAAUAAGUUGAGUUGGGUGAGUCUAAUAAGUUUAGUGAAGGUGCGGCCUAUAAGAGACAUAGUAGUAAGAGGCUUAAUAAUAGACCUAACGUUCAGAUGAGUUGAGUCGGGUUGAAGCCCGCAAAAACUGUAACUGAGCCCUUAAGUGCGAUGGAUGCGCCCUUUCCUAUUAACACAUACUUUUGGAAUAGUUGGUUAGUGCUUAUGAUCUACAGAUAUAU